UCUGAGUAUUGUUUAUGGAAUCUAUGGUAAUACAGCAUUCUUGGUUUGUUUGUCUUUUUCUUUUUUUGCUUGCAAGUGUUCUGUAAUUUGAUUGCGGGUUGGGGAAAGGUGGUUCUGCCGUUCUGUUUGGGUGCUGAGAAAGUGCAGGAAAAGUUGUGUGUUUUUUUUUAAUUAUCUUGAUUUCAUUUUGUGUAAUAUAGCUAUAUUUUGGAAUACCAUCAAAUACAUUCAUUUAAUUUCAUUAUUUAAUCUAAAGUUAUGUAACUCUAUCUGUUUUUUCUUUUGUAAAUUGAAACAAAAAAUUAUGAAAAAAUUGUCUCUUUUUUUUUUUUUUGUCUUUUUGUAAAGAUUGCUGAAUGAAUUGUCUGAUAUUCUGUGACAAAGUUGCAGAAUUUAGGGAGCAAUAUAAAGUACAAAUCUUAUUCCUUUUUAUGCAUUGCAAUGAAAUUUGAAUGAGGAACCUUUCUUCAUCUCUCUGAAUUAGUGUUAUUGAUGGUUGGCGAUCAAUAUUAUUGAGGGGUCAACUCCUUUAAUAGAAGUCUUCCAACUAUAGUCCGCCAGGCACUUGGUCCAGUUCUCAAUAAUCGAAGUUAUUGUCCCUUAGGAGAGUUUUGUCUCCUGUGCUCUACUGAGAGCCUGCCUGCCUGCCGUAAGUGGAUGCCCUGAGUGCUUGGUUCAUAAAGCUAAGAGCACCUCAACCAUAUGUGGGUGCACGGCCACCCAGCAAAGGGACGGUAGUGUCUCGCCCUUAAUAUGGUUUGAACCCUUGGCCUAUAUAGGUCACCUUUUAGGGAAAGGGUACCGCUUGAGCCAGUUGAGGCACUCAUGGCUCUGUGAACUAGACCCUUAGGGCAACUGCUGAGGGCACAUUAGCUCUCGGCAAAGCGGCAAAGCCAUAGAGGCAAAACCUUUCUCAAGGGACAAUACCUUCAAUUGUUGGAGGACCAGUCGACUGUUUGAUGGAUGAAACUUAGAAGACUUCUCCAAAAGGAGUAGACCCCUCAACAAAUAUGUUGCCCAAAAUAAUUGAAGGAAUCUACAUUUGGUUGUUGUUUGAUAAUUUCCUCAUUAACAUUAGGGAUAUGCUUUGCAGAGAAUCGAAGAACUGCAAGCAAGUAAAGAAUUAUCCGAGGAAAAGAUGCUCCGGUUGAGCGUGGAAACAGGCGGAUGUUCUGGGUUCCAAUACGUUUUCGAUCUGGAUGACAAAACCAACCAAGAUGACAGGUUUCAUCUCCUCUAUUGCCAUUCUUCAAUUUUCUUUUGGCGAAAACUAUGCAUAAUGCUUUCUCUCAGACUACCAUAACCUUUGUUUCUUGCAUUUGAUUCCAUUUGCAGGGUCUUUGAAAGGGGUGGAGUAAAAUUGAUAGUUGAUAACAUAUCCUAUGAUUUUGUAAAAGGAGCAACAGUCGAUUACAUUGAGGAGUUAAUUCGUUCGGCAUUCCUCGUAAGCCAUCUUUGUUUGAUAUAUAAACAUAUCUCUGAUUUAAGUCAUAGAAUGUUAACCAUCAAAAUAUAUUGCAGCUUUAUGUUGUUAUGCACUCCUGAUGUUUUAGCUCAUUACAGUGGAUUACUAGUACUGUGCUAGUAAGAUGAUAGGGUGAGUGUGGGAUGCGGAUAUGCGUCCCGGGCACUAGUAAACUCAAAUUUUUUAAGGUUUCCCAUUAUAUGUUAGACAUGGGUGAAUAUAUACAUGCAUGCUUCCAAGCUAUGUUAAACCGAUCUCUUCAUUUCAUUAAAAUACUUAUCUAGUAUCUGUGUCCAACACAUAUUUGUCAAUGGAUAUAUACAUGCAUCCAAAACUUGAAAAGAAAAUUCAAUGUAAUCGGAUAUACGUACAUGCAUCCAAUACUUAUUUGUGUGGGCAGUGGGUGAAUUUUGGAAUUUAUUGUGCAGGUAACAACAAACCCAAGUGCAGUUGGAGGGUGCAGUUGUAAAAGUUCAUUCAUGGUCAAACAGUAGCCUGUGAUUUUCAGCUUUGCCAAACCAGUUGGUAAAUCAUAUUUCUACCAUUUUUCUAUAUGGUCGUAACAAAUUAUUUUGAUUCAAAGAUUGUAACAUCAUAAUGUACUGAGGCACUGCUGCUACUGCUUAAUCUGUUAGGAGUAUUGAAUAUCUGCAAAUUUUAGUACUUUUAAAUACUCGAAUCUAUAUAUCACUCAUUUGCACUGACAGUUUUUUAAUCCCAUUUGUAAUAUUAAAAAACUCUACCAUCUACCUAUCAAAAUAUUACUAUCCAAAACAGUAUUCUAGUUCAAGAUAUCCAAAUCUGGUAUAUUUUGGUGAUGCAAUGAGUAGAUCAGUAUACAUUGCAUAUAAUCCACGAUUCUGAAUCAUUCAAUAUUUUCAAAGACAAUCAAUCGACUCAUUGUUAAUAAAGAUGUACGUUCCCCUCCCCCCCCCACCCCCAAAAAAAAAAGUGACAUUUUAUUGCAACAAUGAGCAUUGCUACAUCAUAGAUAUAUGCUCAUACCCAUUCCUCAAAUAAAAACUUCAAAACAUCCACAAAGAGAAAGAAAAGGAUGAGUUCAUUCCUCUGAUUGCCUCUGUCCUAGCACAGAAAUGUCUUCGUAUCGUUUCUGUUGUAUUGCAAACAAAAUCAAAUAUACAAAUUAGUAGACAAACCUCGUAAGCUCGAUUACUGCAGCAAAUAUGAACGAUUUUUGAGGGUGAACUGAAUUAGAUUAGCUAAUGGACACUGGUUAAUCAUUAUGAAAUUGAUAGCCUCUCAACACUUGCAAGAAGAGAAAAUCAUAGCUUUAGAGAAGGCUUGAUUAUAUCACAUUAUUUAAGGGGGGAGGAGAGGACACAAAGAAGCAAAAAUGCUUUGCUUUGCACUAAACUUAACUAUGCACACAACUGAGAGAAGAAAUAAUGUCAAUGCACCCAAGAGAUUGAAAAUGUAGCGUAUAACAAGUUACAUCACCUGAAAUUCGAUAACACCAAUAUAAAGAGCUGCAAUUAUAGAACAGGUGUUGUAGCCUUCUAUGUAAAUGAGAUAUUAUUGCAUUGUAAAGCCAAAAUUUUCCAAGUUCAAUUCUUCCUAGAUCCUUUUUCAAUAAAGCCGAUCACAAAAUAAACGAGAUCAAACAUAUUCCCAAUCCUUUCUCAAUCGCUAGCAAGACUAUGGAAGUGUAAUGAUGUCAUAAUUUUAACAAAAACUGACAAUACCUAAAGAUUACAGAUACUUCACAAAGUCCACCAUGGAAUGUACUUAGUUGUAAAAUACCAUUAAAAAAAAGACCGGUAGGAGUAUUAUAGCCUAUGUUACUAGCACUUAAGAAAGGGUAUCGGAUAUGGGUAUGUGUUCAACAUAGGUAAGUUCAAUUUUUACAAAGUUUUUUGAUAAAUUUGGAGAUCCUUGGAGGAUCAUAUCUCUGCACUCGUAUGAGAAUAGGUGUUGGAUACAGGUGCUUCAAUAAAAAUGAAGAGGCGAAGCAAACAUAGAUAAUAAUUAGAUUGGAAUGAGCAAAUAAAAAAGUAUUGCCGCCGGCAGUCUUAAUUACUACAAAGGUUUAAACAUCUUGACAAACAGAGAAAAGGGGCUAUCGUCUCUUCAAUACAUUCAGAUACAAAUCCCAGUGUGCUUGUGCAAAGUGACAGUGAAAUAAUAACUACCGAAUAUGCAAAUCAGAGUCCAAACAAUCCGCAAAUAAAUAAGCAACUGUGAAGUAAAAUACAAAAUAAAAACUGAUUCUUAGAAUUAGAAAUUUACCCCAACAUUGUUGUAUUCCCAGAGCUUAUGAACUCCAUAAUCCACAGCCUACAGAAGUCAAAUCAAUUACAAUAAAACACAUUAAAAAAUUAAUAGUAAAAUUAAUAGAAAAAAACCGUCACUUACAAUCAAAAAACAAAUAAUCAAUAAAAAUUAACAAUCCCUGACCAAGUAUAUUCCAAUCAGUACGUUAAAAAAAUUAUUUUCCCCUAAAAUCAACAAUAAAAUUCAAUUCGACAAAGUGGAUGAAGGGUGGAAAUAAGAGAGAUUCAAUCGGGAAAACAAAGAGUUAGAACAUACCCGUUCUCCGAGGAAAGCGCCGGCGAUGACAAAUGUGACGUAGACAGAGUUACGGCGCAUGAUGACUCUGUAGAGACCUUCGAAUAGGCCUCCUUGACUUCUUCGAGAAGCGUAGUCCAUGGCGAUUCUUAAGGUAGAGAGAGUGGCUCUUGCUGGGAUCUGCUAUUAGGGUAUGCAGAGAAGAUAAAAAAAAAAAUUGGGGGAAUUUUGUGUUUUGUAACAAAGAAAUUUACAGAAAGGGUUUUCCGGUCGAACCGAAAUGUGUUGAUUUUGUUUAUGGGCCCAAUAGGUCAGUUUUUGGGCCUUCUCUUUGCCAAUGCCCUUUUACCAUUUAAGACUGUUGCUAAUUCACAAGUUUUUUUCGAACGAUUUGAUUAAAUAAAUUAUUAAAAAUAUAUAUUAAAAAUUGGUUCAAUUGUUUUUUAACUCGAUUGAAUCGAUGCAUAUUUAUUCCUAGUUCAAUUGAUCUAAAGGCUUUCUCUGGAUUAGUACUCCAAUUGAUCUGAUUCGGUUCAGAUAAUCACGCUAGUUUAUUUCCUAUUUUUGUAUGUUUUUAAAGAAAUAUGCCCUACAAACUAAUAAAUGCCCUUGUUUGCAAAAUAAGCUCAAUAAAAGGGAAUGACAAGUUGACAAUAACUGGAUUAUAAUUGGAUCACAUAAUUCAACUUAAUAUUAGUUAAAUAUUAGCUAUACUAUUUUCUUACUUAUUCCGCUUUACAUGAAAAAAGUAUCGUAUAACGAAUAUUAAAUAACCACAUAGAAAUAUUUUAUAAGUAGAUUAUGCGAAGUCAUUGCAUAAAAUACACAAAUCCUAACAAUCUCACACUUACUUCAGUGAAGUAAAUAAGUUAUAUAUUGCAUUCCUAUACCUCAACAUGUUUCUAAACACUCUUAGUUACUAAAGUCUCGGUAAACAGAUUCAUAAUAUCGUCCUCAGAUGUGAUUACUUUUAUAGAAUUUGAUAUUUAGUCUUUAUACUUUAAAAGUAAAAAAAAAAAUCAAUUAUCUUACUUUUUCAAAUUUAAAAUCCUAAUCUAAUAAUUAUAGACGUGGUAAUUUCCAUUAAAAUUUGUUAACUUAACGUGUUUAUUUUCCGUCAAUCAUAUAACAUGUCACAUUAAGCAACUUAAUCAGCAUGCCAAUUUGACAAAUUUGCCAAAAGACACUUACGAUUUUAAUGAUUGAAUUGGAAUUUUUAAAUCAAAAGAGUUGGAGGACUUAGUUUCAAAUUUUUUUAAGUGUAAAGACUAAAUCUCAAAUUUUAUCAAUAUAGAAAGACUAACAACAACAUGUUUUAAUCUAUAAAAAAAAAAAAAAACAGUAACAAUCUCAACAAUUUAAUGAAAUAAAUGGUAACAAGACCAGCACAAAAACUUAGUGUUUAGGGGGGCGUUUGGUUAUCUGAAUCUUAAAUUAUGAUCCGCAAUAAUAUUAUAGGAAUGUAACAUUACGGGUGGAAUGUGAGAUUACUUUAUUUUGUUCAUUUGGCUAGAAUGUAAGAUUCAGGUGUCUGGUUGAAGAAGCACAAGAUUACCUAGAAUCACAUUUUACUCAAUUGUUAUUGUUAUAAAAUAUGUUUUUUUUAAACAAGUUUAGCUCAUUUAAUAUUUUUUAGUCUCAAUUUCCAUAAAAUUAUGAUAAUUUAUUACAAUUUAUAUUGUAACAAGUAAAUAUAUUAUAUAGAAAUAAAUUUAUAAAUCCUAAUUACAAUAAUUCAUGAAAAGUGAUUGCAACACUAACCAUAAUUAUGAUUAUAAUCAUAUAUGAUAUCUACUGGUUCACUAUUAAUAAAAAAAUGUUUUUUAAUUAGUUUUGAACUUUAUUUAAGAAAAAAAAGUAAAUGGAUUAGAAUAAAAAAUUGUUUUAUAAAAAAGGACAAAUAUCAAAAUUAUACGUGAAUUUUGAUGCAAUAUGCAAUUUGAUACAUGAAUAUUGAUUUAGUGCAAUUAUAUAGAUGAAAAUUUGUGGUUUAAAUGUAUACAUAAAACUUUAAUUUUGAUUCAAUCAUACGCAUUUAAAGAAAUAAAUACAUUGAUUUAAUUUUAUAGUGGAUAAAUAUAAUUAUAUAAACAUAAAAUGAAGCAAUGUCAAAAUUUACGUUAAAUAAUUUACGAGAAUUGGAGCAAAUUAAGAUUUCAUGUUUAAAAUUAUUCCAAAUUAAAAUUCAUGUAUAAAAUUAUAUAUUAAACUAAAGGUAAUGUAUAAUUUUGAGAUUUAUCUUAUAAGAGACUAAAUUAUAUUAAAUUAAAACAUAAAAGCUAUAUUCUUAAAUUAAGCAAAAUAGUAGGAUGAAAAUCAUAAUUUGACCUUAAAAUAGUUGCCACGAGCACGCCACGGCCCUCCGGUAAUCACGGGUCUGAAGGCUGCGCGCGUGUCAAACACCUGCCUUUUUCUUUUUUCACCGAAAAACCUAAAAGAAAAAAAGAGAGAAGAAGAAAACUUCGAACUUCCGCUUCGCCGAUUCCACACUUUUACUCUCUCAACUUCAAAUCCCUCACUCAAACAAAAAAGGCUCAAAUCGAAUCGAUUUAAACUAAAAGCAUACUUUUUUUUUCUUUGAAUUAUUACUAUUAAUUUGUUUUUCUCAGAUAUUUGAUUGAAAUGGAGUUGUUAGAUGGAAACUUAGAGCUCAAAGAGAUUCAAAAGCUUCAAGGUCAUACCGAUAGGGUUUGGAGCCUCGCCUGGAAUCCCGCCACCGCCGCUGCCGACGUUCCCAAGGUUUUCGCUUCUUGUAGCGGCGAUAAGACCGUUCGAAUCUGGGAAGAGAGCCCCUCUACUCGCUCCUGGGACUGCAAGGUUUACUCUAUUUUUCUCGUUUUUGUUUUUGCUUAAAAAGAAUGCAAAGAAAAAGUAAAAAAAUGAUUUAAGUUAGGUCACUGCAACAUAUAAAUUUUGAAUCUUUGUUGCCUUUUAUAUUUGAAGUUAACAUAAAUAGAAAAAAAAAAUUGAUGAAGUCAUUUGAAGUUUACUGUAAGUCUUUUUUUUUCAAUGAGGAAAAUCUCUAUCUUUUUAAUUCAAAAAAAAAAAAAAAAGAAGUGUCGAAAUAUUAGCUCAAGUGAUGUUAGAGCGCACUCUUUUGCAGGCUGUUUUGGAAGAAACACACACUAGAACCGUCCGAUCCUGUGCUUGGUCACCAUCUGGGAGAUUGUUGGCCACUGCUAGCUUUGAUGCAACCACUGCCAUAUGGGAAAAUGUUGGGGGUGACUUUGAAUGUGUUUCUACUUUGGAGGUAUAUUUUUAUUCUUUUAUUGCUUUCUUUUCAUUUCUUAAGGUUUUUCAGUCUGUUUUAAGCAAAAUUAUAGUUUCAUUGAACUUAUGAGUUAAUGGAAAUGGUUUACCAUGUAGAAGUGGAUUGAGCGUAAACAAUGUAGUGCAUUCAGAGAGAUAUCGAAUAUGCCAUUUAUUAGCAUUUAGUUUAUUUUUCUUUAAUAUCUGGUUCAUAUGGUAAAACAUUGGAAUAAUUUAUUUAUUUGUUUUCUGCGUUUUAUAGGGUCAUGAAAAUGAAGUGAAAAGUGUGUCUUGGAAUGCAUCAGGUUCUCUUCUUGCAACAUGUGGGCGAGAUAAAACUGUUUGGAUUUGGGAAGUGAUGCCAGGGAAUGAAUUUGAGUGUAUUCAAGUUUUGCAAGGUCAUACUCAAGAUGUUAAAAUGGUUGAGUGGCAUCCGACUAUGGAUAUUUUGUUUUCCUGUAGUUACGAUAACACUGUGAAGGUACUGUUUCGGCUAAACUGAGCUCUGUGUCUUAGCAAGAGAAUAGAAAUCCUUGUUCUUUUGCUAAUUCCAUUGUACACCAACAAGAUUGAGAAAUGUAAUGAAGUUGUAAUACUUUUGCUUUUCCUUGUAGGUAUGGUGGUCAGAUGAUGCUGAUGGUGAUUGGAGCUGUGUACAAACUUUAGGUGAAUCUAGCAAGUACUAUGCCUAAAACUCUUCUAUGUUUGCUAUUUCAGCUCAUUUUCUUGUUUAUUAUAUUGCCUGACUUGUACUUGUUCUUUAUAUCAUCCUAUGAAGCAUUGUGAUGAUGGCUUUUAAAUUUUAUAGACCUUGAAGAUUUCUUUUGAAUUGUUUAUGAAUUUAUCAGACUAUUAAGAACUCCUUAUUUCAAUAUCUUGUGGUCAGUGGUCAUUCUUCCACCGUCUGGUCGCUUGCUUUUAAUGCUAAGGGAGACAAAUUGGUGACUUGUAGGUAUGAUAACAAAUUUUUCUUUAUAGCCUGCAGUAACUGGAAUUUUAGUAUUCGCUGAUGGCAUCACAGAAAAUUUACAUUCAAACACACAUGCACGCUCACAAAGUUGCAGAAGAAGCGCUGAAAAUUAUUGCUGAUUUUGCAGUGAUGAUCUUACCAUGAAGAUAUGGGAAGCAGACAUCAUAAGGAUGCAGUCUGGUGAUGGUUAUGCACCCUGGUGAGAAAUAUGCUGCGCCUUCUUUUUUCUAUGUUGAAUUUUUCCAAUUGCUAGCUCUUGGUCGUCAUACCAAAUCUAUCUCUAGGCUCGUUUGUAUAAAUCAGGACAUAGAUGUUUGGUUAAUGUCCUUGAAUCUCGUUUCUCCAUUUGUUUAUGAUGUGUAGACUGGCUAUUUGCAAUAGUUGCUUGCACAAUGGAAAAUCAAUUGAAGAUAAUUUCAUGGCCUGUGAUCUUCCAUGGAUAGCUAUUAAUGCACAUUUUAAUGUCAAGAGACUCAUUUUUGCUGUUUGAAACUUAAGAACAUCAAGUCUUGGCUUGGUAUUACUGCUCCCCUAGCAAAGAAAUAGCAGCCAAAUUAUUGUCGCUAACAUGCAUGAUCUUUGUGAACUGAACAAUGCAUAAAAUAUUUAGUUGAUCAAAAGUAACUUAUUCAGCAUUUGUAUAUGGUAUUUUGGUUCUUUUAUUCUUGUUUAAGACCCUGCGAUGCAUAAAAUAAUGCGAUCCACUUCAAUGGUUGUCCAGGAAUCAUCUGUGCACACUCUCAGGUUAUCAUGAUCGAACCAUCUUUUCAGUUCACUGGUCAAGGUAUUAACUUUUGUUUUAUUGUAAUAGCUAUUUUCUCCUUGGGUUUUCUAGCAUGUAUCCUUUUAUUUUCUCUGUCUAAAUGGUUGAAAGUUCUAAUUACAACUAAACUGCUUCUGUGUUAUUUUUGUUGGGAUACGCUAGUGCUUACCUAUUUGUUCUUUUUCUCUUAAAAAAGAAGAAAUUGGAUGAUACCUGUAUAUACAAAGAAAGAUCUGAAGGGCAGAUUAACUUGAUUUGCAUCAUCAGUAUCAUUUUCUGAUGGCUGAAAAUGUUCUAAAGCUUAAAUGUCCAAGUGACCUGGACAUUAGCUAUAGUCAUGAUCUCAAGGAAAUGGCUCUUGUGCUGAUUAUUAACUCAUCAGCAUGCUUAUACUUUUAGCUUUCUGUAUUCAAGAAUUUAGUAGCAACUUUGUGAGAGAACCUAUGUCAGAUGGAAUCUAAUAGCACUCAGUUUGAAAUUUAUUUAAGUGAUAUAACUACUAUCUGACUGAAGUAGUGAAGUGUGUUCCAUUAAAAAAAUGUAUGUUACUAUUGUAAUUGUUCAGUCUGAUUUUGUUAAAAUGAGGUUGAUUUUGUUGCCUAUCUGGUUCUACUUUAUAAGUGUUAGUUAAUGUCAGAAAACAAGUAGCUCCAGCCCUCUACUUUUGAUAUUUUUUACAAUAUGAAUCUCUUUUUUCUUUCUUUCAAGUUUUUAUCUAAAACUGAUUGUCUGGCUUAUCAUGUUACAGAGAGGCAAUUAUUGCCAGUGGAGCUGCUGAUGAUGCUGUAAGGUUGUUUGUAGAGAGCAAAGAUGGUUCGGUAUGUAAUUCUUUCUGGGGUGAAAUGCAUAACCCUCCUUAACCGACUAACCCAUUAGUCAACCACCAUUUCUCCUUUUAGACCCUGCAGCCAUGUCACUUUAAAAGUUGGCCAAUUAUUAUUUCAUUUCUUGCAUAUAAGAUUAUCCACAUCAUUCCCUGCCGAUGUCAUCAGUAAGUACAUUAAAAGUCUUAAAGAUUCCAAUGAUCUUGUAUUCAAGUUGGGUGCUCCGCCUAUAACCAAUUGGUUUUAGGUUGAAUGCUUAACUUGGUGUUGAAAUCCAAGUUUUGUUAUGUUAAUUGCUUGUGGUCUUAUGUUCAAGUUUAAUCUCUCCACCUAUUGCCAUUGGAUGCUUAACGCAGUAUCAGAGUCCAAAUUUCGUUAUAUUGUUACCCUCUGAGGUUGUUCAUCCUCAUAGAUUGUACAUCUAUAUGAGCUUAUAUUGUUAAGUCCUGGUGUUUUUUUGUGGAUUUCUUGUUGUGUUAAAUAUAUAUUAUCUUAAGCAAAUUCUUAUGCUGUUUAGGUUUUGAAAGUGGCAAAUAUUAAUCAAUUUUUGUGGUUUUACAAUAGAUGAAUGGAUCUUCAUAUCAAUUGCUAUUGAAGAAGGAGAAGGCUCAUGACAUGGAUGUAAAUUCAGUACAAUGGUGCCCUGGGGUAAGAUUCCCUUUCUUGGAAUUUAAUGAGGAUUACUAUAUGUGCUUGCAUUCACAUGCAGUACAUAAAAGCAGAAAUGAAUAUAAUAUGACAAAUACAAAUAGUUUCUUUAGGCAUAGUAGAGUCUAGUGGUUGGCUAAGUUAUUGGUUUCUUUCUGUCUUUACUCGGAGCCGAUAAGAUUGAUUUGCUAGUCUUUGCUUUAACCGGUGACAAUACCCCUUAAAAAGGAUUCAUAAUAAAUGUAGAAAUUGUGGUUUCAUGUCCAUAUCAUUAGCUUUAUACUAUGUUUGGUAGGAAGGAAAAGAUGAUAGAAGAGAAAAGUGAAAACUAUUUUCGUUCGGUAAAUGCGCUUGGAAGGUCUCUCUAUUAUAAGAAUUGGAUCAAUUUAGUCCUUGUACUAUAAAAUAAAAUAAAAUCAAAUGAGGUCAAAUUUCAACAGAGUUAAAUAUUUACGGUAAAAAAAUGUCAUUUGUUGUUUAACAGAGUUAUCUUUUGAAAGCUUCUUAAGCUUCUGCAAAUAAAAUAUUUUGUUCGGUGUUGAACUGUAAAAGGAAAAUAAUAAUUUUCAUGUCAUUUUUUUAACAGUAAUUGUUAACUAUGUUCCAUUUUGCCUUAUUUGAUUCUUUUUAAUAGUACAAGGACUAAAUUGGUCCAUUUAAUAGUAGAGGGAUUAAAUUGUCCUUAUAUUCUACAUUUAGUCCUUCUAAAUCUAGUUCCAAUCAAUUGGACCAUGCAUGACACUUAGCCUUAGCAACCUUAAACUACUUUGUUGAGCUAGAAUUUUCCUAUAAUUUUCACAUUUUCUCCUGAAUUACUGCAUCUCUCUAUUUAUUUUCUCGAGAUUAUUCCUUUGACUUUAGCUAACAUAUUCGGCUUCCUGUGUUGUCGAAAAUAACAGGAGAAACGUCUACUUGCUUCAGCAAGUGAUGAUGGAACCAUAAAGAUAUGGGAGUUGGGAACUUUGCCUUGAUCAAAACUUUGACUUUAGCUAACCUUGGGGAUUUUACUUUUUCUAUGGUUUCAGAAAUUUGUUUUAAGUUGGGUUGUGGCUUUGAGAAAUCAUGAAUUAAAAUAUUAUAUAGAAAACUUAGUUGAAAUAAUUGUCAAGCAGAAGCUUCUGUGUAUAAAUUUUAAGAGCAAAAAUGAAAUUCUUGAUGAGCUUGGAUCCUUACUCUGUUGGUUCCUGUAAUUCUCUAAACUGUAUAUAUAUAUAUUCAUUUUAUAAACAAAAGAAAUGAAAUGAAAGAAAGCACUCAUCAAGGCUCAACUUUGAAAAAUUAUAAAAUUAACAUUAAAUUAUUUGAAAUUUUUUAUUUAAGUUAUUGGAAUUCUAUUUGUACUGCAAAAGUUUUAUUUCCUUUUUCUUUGUACGGUUUAAUUUUUUUUAAUGAUAGAACUUUGUAAAGAAUAUACGAAUCAAAAUUUAAAUAAUUUUUUUUUCUUUGAUCUUUAAUAUUAAUUGUCGAAUUUAAAAUAUAUAAUCUUUACUCAUAAAGGGCAUUGAUAUAUAGUAAAGUUGAAUUAGUCGAAAAAUAAUUUAGUGAUUUAAAUGAAAAUAUAUAAUGCGAAAUUAAAAUAUUGAAGUGUAUGAAAUAUAAUUAGUACAUGGCGAAAAACCAUAUAAUUAAAACCAUUAGAUAAAGAAAUGAAAAGAUAUAUUGAUGAUAACUAUUCAACACCUGUUUUCUAUUCUAACCCCACCAGAACCUGUUCUUACUUCUUCAACCAAAGCUUCACGAGCUAACAUAAUCCCACUAGGCACCAAACAAUCAUCAAACCCAGAGCAAUCAAUCCAAUCCUUCAAAAGUUCUUCUUGACCCCAUAUAUCCGGUAUCCAAACCUUACUUUUUCCCAUUUCAAUCCUAUGCUUCUUCAAUCUCUCUCGUCCAUUAUCUUCUUCCAUUAACUUUUCAACCCCCCUCACCGUUCCUUCUUUAGCAACUUCAUCAACUCUGGCCGAACACCGACCCUUUAACGAGCUUUCCUCGUCAGGCUGCUGAGUUUCAUUAGCUUGAUCUAAAAACUGGGAUGGAUUUUGAUAAUGGGUGGCGGUCAUUUUUGUUGGUUCUAUAUUCAUGUUGAUAAAAAAAAAGACAAUGAAAAACUUCUUUUUUUUGCUUCAAUGGUUGAGCCCUUUCAAGAUUGAAGAUUAUAUAGAAGAUGGAGAGAUUUCAGAAGGGUUUAUUAAGUGUGGGAGAAGGAAUUACAGAAGAAGGUGAUGAUGAAAGAUUCAAAAAGAAUAUAUGGUUUAGAAAACAUUUGGGGUUGGUUUGGUUUGUAUGGUAAGUGAGAAAAGUACGUGUUUUUAUAUGUGCGUGGCUUUUUGUGGUUUUUAAUUGAAAGUUUUGAUAAUAUUAAUAUCCAAAAGAAAAAAUAAACCCAAAACAAAAAAUAGAGAGUUUCUUUUCUUUAUUCAAAGAAAACCAAUGAAUUUGUCUGUGUCUUAGCUCGGUUGAUAUGGAUAUUGUUAUUAAUACAGAAGGGUUCAAGUUUGAGUGCGCUGAAGCACAUUAUCCUCUUAUUUAUGGGUUGGGAGGGACUAUGAAUAGUUCUAAGCAUUGUGUCAGAAAAAAAAUAUGAUCAGAAACUAUAAUUUCAUUUAAGUGGAUCUUUUGUAAAGAUUGUGAGGUUGAUGUGAUGCUUCUUCUUGGAUUGAAAUAGUAACCUUUUAGGUGGAAGCAUAGGUGGAGUAAUGAUAAAUUUUUAAGGGUAAAUUACAUCAGUAGUCAGUCAAAAUGACCACUCAACUAUUUAAUUUUAUCUUUUUUUAUCACCCAACUAUCUUGAGUUUUUGGGUGUUUCUAUUUGUACGUUAGCCAGCUGGUGACUAAAAAAGACAAAAUUAAAUAGUUAAGUGACUGUUUUAUAAUUUUUUAUAGUUGGAUAACAAAAAAAAUACUAAUAAUUGAGUGACUAUUUUGUAACUUUUAAUAAUUGGAUGACCUCUAUUAUAAUUUACCCUUUUUUAAAGAAACCAAUAGACUUGAUUUAAAUCUUUAGUUGACCCUGAUUUUAGAUUCUAUCUUAUUGUAUGAGAACUCUUAGCCUCUAUCCAAAAAGCUUUCCCUAUAAAAAAAACUAUAAAAUUAUAAAUUAAUAUAAUAAUAAAAUUAAAUUUUGAGUCUCUAAAAUUUUAUAAUUCAACUUCCUCUUAAAAAUUUCUAUCUUCAUUAUAAUUAUAAAAAAAAAAUUCAUAAUUAAGCAUUAGAUCAAUAUAUCACUCAAUAACUAACUAUAAUUAAUAAAUCAUAGUAUUUUACAUAAACCAAACUUUCAACUUGCAUUAUUCAAAGGCUUAAAAUUUAAUUGUUGGUAAAAGAAAUAAAGAGUAAUUAUUUCUCAAUUUUUUUUUAAUUUCCUCCUUAAAAAAUAUAACCCAAGCCAAGAAAAAUAUAUACAUCAAACCUAAGUAAAUUAGCAAAAUCAAAAGCCUAAGCUCCAUAAGAAGUUAGUUAGUUAGUGCAUAGUAUGCAAGUAAUAAGUCAUUAUGAAAUCGAAAAACGGUACUUACUAUAGGUUAAAGACAAUAAUUAUUAAAGAGUUUAAAAACACAAUUUUCUAACCGAAUACAAGAAAUGGCUUCCACCCUACAUGCACUCUCAUGCAAUAAGAGGGCUAGGUAUGGUAAUAACCUUGAGGUACGUCCACAAGAACCACGUCACUUUGAUAAACUAUUCUCCUAAGUUAUCAUCACUUAUUCCUUCACUAGCAUAAGCAUCAAAGAGUGUCUCGAAGCAUAAACUCCAACACCUCAUAGAUUUUCUUUUGUCUUGUAAGCAUAAAACUCUUUUACCAGUCGAAAACUAGCUCUUAACCUAUUCUCCUCUCAAUGACAUAAACAUUUGGCAUUCGCUGUAGGAACUAAGCGAAAAGCCUUAGGUCUUACCAUUGAGAGCAACCAUACCGAUAUCUAAACCAACCCUAUCAACAAAGAGAACAACCCUUUGAGCAUUGUUAAUGUCGUCGGAACUAGCCAUAUUGCUCCUAUGAUGCUGAAACCCUUAACGUGCUAUAGGAUCUAGCUUGAACAUUCCCAACUUGUCCACACACAUCAGCUUAGCUCACUAACCCCUCAGCGCUACAUCUACUUCCAUCGGAGUUAGCCACCUCCCACUCUUACUUAUUGUUAUAACCCUUAAUUCCUUAACACCUUACGCAUAUUACCAUCAUUCUAUAUGCUCCCUAUUCAUACUCUUAAUUUCACAAAAUUACCAAAAAUUUCCCUUCAAGCUAAAAAUUAAUUGCGACAUCAACUAGGCACUAGGUUACUUUAUAACAAGUUUCGAACCCAAAGGAGAUGUACUGCUAUACUAGCCUUAGAAAAUAUAACCCAGACCCAGGAAAAUAUGCCUUAAAGCUAAGUAAAUCGGCAAAACACAAAGCCCAAGCUCUAUAAGGUAAGACAACUGCCGUGUAGUAUGCAAGUAAAAAGUUACUGUCAAAUCAACAAAUAGUACCUCCCAUAAGUCAUAAGGCAAGAUCAACAAAAGGCCUACGCGUGUACUCUCAUGCAAUCAACAUCGCAAGAAUGCAAAAAGGCCCUGUUAUAAUCACCUACUUCUUCAUAAAAUUGCUCUUAUUGACCCAAAACCAGCCCUCACCCUACACUCCUCUCAAUGAGGUAAACAAAUUUAUUUCAUGGGGAAAUAUUUGGAAUAGUGACGAUGAAGUUCUUAGACUUUAUAAGUAGAGUUAGGGGUUAACAAGUUUUCUAUAGAGGUAUGGUAAAAUAUUAAAAAAUAAAUAUUUUAAAAAUGAUUAGUAUUUGGUACACUGAUGUGUACUUUUUUUUAUUUCACAAGCAACCCUAAAAAAAUUGUCAUCUGACUUUUUUUUUAAAUUUUACUAUACCCUUAUAAGAUAUUUGUUAACACUCGGAUCCUGCUUGUGAAGUUUAAAAACUCCACUGUUAGUAUACCAAAUAUUUUCUCUUUUAAAAAAAGAGAGACACGUGGCAAGUUUUUGAGGCUGCUUGCGGAAUAAAAAAAUGCACUGUCAGUGUACCAAAUACUAACUCAUAUUUUAUUUUAGGGUUACUAUUUGGUACAUUGGUAGUAAAAAAAUUUUAUUCCACAAACAACCUUAAAAAAUUACCAUGUGCCUUUUUUAAAAAAAAUGUUUAUUUUUUUAAUAUUUUACAAUACCCUUAUAGGACAUUUAGUAACCCAUUGACUUUGCUUGUGAAGUUUAAAAGUUCCGCUAGUAGUGUACAAAAUAUAUAUUUUUUAUUUUAUUAAUAAUAUUUAUUUAUUGCUACCGUUAUUUAUUUUAUAGGACAUUUAGUAACCCCUUGACUUUACUUGUGGAGUUUAAAAGCUCCACUGGUAGUGUACUAAAUAUUUUUUUUCUUUAUUUUAUGUUAUUAAUAAUAUUUAUUUACUGCUAUCGUUAUUUUUAGAUAAAUUAAUUUUGAAGAAAAUAAACACCAUCCCAAUAAAUUACAUUUUAGAGUAAUUUACUUCUAUAAAUUCAAUACAUAUUUUUAUAUUCCUUCAACCCAGAUAACAAUCCUUUUUUUAUCUCAUAAGUUUUGAUAGUCAAAUUUCUUUUAAAAAAAAGUUUAUUUAUAAAUUUAUUGUUGAAUUUCAAAUCGAUGCAUUUAAUUUUCUUUUUAUUAAAUAUUAGAAUUUUCAAAUCUCUUAUAAAAAAAUCCUUGAUUUUUGGGAUAUGGCAUUGGCCAAUCAUGUUGUUGGUUUUGAUUUGAUUAAAUAAAAUAAAAUUUAUAAAUAAAUAAAUUUUAAAAAUUAGUACUAUUAUUCUUUUCAUUUAAUGAGAUUUAGACUUUUUUCUAAAGAUCUUUUUUUCCUUGGUGUUACCUUCUCCUCUUCUUUUGUUCGUGUCCUCACUUUCAUUUCCCUUCAAAAAUAAAAAUAAAAAAAAUCCCAAGUUUCAUUUAUAUGUAUAUUUUUAGUAUAUACGUAAUCUCAUUAUAUAUUCUGAUCAUAUUUACUUUUUGUGACACAAUACCUAAGAACUACUCAGACCCUCUCCCCAGCCCAUAGAUAGGAGGAUAAUGCAGUUCAACGCAUUCGAACCCACAUCCUCCUGCAUUGACAAAAAUACCCAUACCAAUCGAGUUAAGAUUCAAUCGAUUAUAUAAAUAAGUAUUUUAUGACACAAAAUACAAAAUUGACAAUACACUAAUUAAUUUUGUAGAACAAGUCCUUCUACACUUUUUGGGAAAUUAUAUAUGGAGCUUUCUUCAAAAUUUAGCGUACAUUUAUUUUUUUUGGAUUUAUCCAUAAUUUUAAUUUUUUUAUAAUAUUUUAUUUAAAUUAUAUAUGAAAAAUUUUAACAUCUUUGGUAGAAGAUAUUUUUGCCCCUUAAUUUUAAUGUUAAACAAAUUAAUCCUUUUAAAAAAAAUUAAAAUAAUUUAAUUAUUGUCAAUUUAAAAAAUGAGUGGUUAAAGAAUAUUAAUCUUUUUGUCAAUUUUUACUAAUAAAUUUUAUAUAAAAAAUUAUUUCUUUGUCGUAGUUAAAAUUGUAUAAUUAAAUGUUUCAUUUGUUAGAUAAUUGGGUUUAUAUCUGAUAUAUUAUCGAUGUAUAAAUUUAUAUAUUAGUGAAUCAAAUAAACAUUUUUUUGGGUAAAACAUAACACCAAUGUAUUAAUAAUAAAUAUAUUUAUAUUUAAAAACUCAAUAUAUUGUGUUUGGUUACUAAUAUGUAUUUCACUCUUUUCUUUUUCUUUUUCUUUUUAAUUUUUUAACAAUCUCAUUAUAUGUUUUGAUUAUAUCUGCUUUUUUUGACAUAAUAUCUAAAACUAUCCAUAAUCCCUCAUCAACCCAUAAAUAGGAGGAUAAUGCGCUUCAACGCACUUAAACCCAUAUCUUCCUACAUUGACAACAAUACCUAUACGAAUCGAGCUAAGACUCAAUCGACUUUUUUAAUAAAUUUUUUCUUCAAAGCAAGUUGAACUAAGCUUUGGCGGCUUUAUAAUUUUCUUAUAAGCAAUAAAAUUGUGAAUUAUUACAUUUAAUAUUAAGAUUUACGAUAAACAAUAUAUAUUAACAAACAUUUUGUUGGAUAAAAUACGUUAGCGAACAAAUAUAAAUAUAAAUAUUUAUAUUAAAUACAAGAUCUGAAAAAUAAUAUAAACAAAAAUUUAUAUUUAUGUAAAACACCAGAUCUAAAACAAGAAAAAUUAAAUAAAUAUUUAUAUUUAUUUAAAACUUCAAAUUUGAAAAUAAUUAAAUAAACAAGAAUUUUAAAAAUCCAGAAAUGGAAUAAGAGAAUCGAAUUUUACUAGAUGUUGAGGUCUGUUUUCAUAGCUUCAUUAAGACAGAUUCGACCGCUCUUAUGGUACUUGGAGAAACGUUGGUCGAUUUCUCCUAGGAUACAACAACAAAAAUGAUUGCUGUAGUAGUACUUUUGCACUGCUGCGAUCAACAAACAUACCUUGACUUCUUCUAUCACCAAAAUGUUUGAAAAUUUGGAGAGAAAAAAAAAGAAUUUUGUAGAGUGAAAAAGUUUGUUGUGUCUUUGUUAAGAAUUCUACAGUAUUCUUUGGGCUUUUAUAGGCAUUUAGUAUGGAGGAAUUUUGAAAAUUUCUAUGAAUAAAGAUACAAAUAUUCAUUAAAUAAGCCUUUAAAUUAAUUUGAAUAAAAUCAAAUCAAAUUGAAAAUCAAUCUGAUUGGAAUAAAAUCAAAUCAAGAUAUUUGUUUAGUCAUGCAAGUGCACCCCCACCCUGGUAGAUUUGAAUUCGCAACCCCUCCUGCACACGAGAGAUAGCAUUAGUUUAGUCAUUCAAUAACUACUAAGUUGGUUUGCAUAUAUAUGCAAGUUCUACAAUUGAUUCCAAUCAACGUGGGACUAAUGUUUUUCAUUUUUCUCAACAUAAUUUACAAGUAGCUUACUUUGAGUAUCAAUUUUAUAAUUCAACUCUCCACCUUUACCAAUCAAGAAUAUGCCUCAAAUUUUCCAAAAAUAUAUUUUUUCCAGCACAUUUAUUAUAGGAUAUCGUAAGAACACUAGUUAGUAAAACUUAUGUAUAAUAUUAAAAUUAAAAUUAAAAUUAUUAAUUUUUUAAAAUAAAAAUAAAAUUAUAAGUAUAAUCACAAAUGAUAAAUAUCCGAAUAACUAUAAUCAAAAUCAAAUCAGUAUAAUAUAAGAACAAACAAACAACCAAAAUAUAUUCGAACUUAAACCAAAAUAAAAUUUGAUAAAAUCCACUAUUCAAUUUCAAAUUUUCAAACUCAAAACCACAACCAUUGUUUUAUCAAAAACCAAUUAAAUUAAAAUAUAAAAAAAAUUAAAAAUUCUUUUUACAUAUUUUUUGAACCCUAAAAUUAGAGAGAAAAAAGGCAAGAAGUGAUUUUCUUUUGUCACAUAAAAGUGGUAGGGCUUGUUCUCCAUGUGGGUAUGUCCCUUAAUUUUGGACCUAGUCUUGUCUUAUCAAAUAAAAUUAUUCAGAUUUAAUGACUUAUAUAAUCACUUUCAAAACAAUAAUAUUUUAAUAAAUUUUAAAAUUUAAAUAUUUUAAAUUAUAAUUUUUAUUAAAAUCAAUUGGUAUGAGUAAUGCUAUCAAUAUAAAAAAAUAUAGACUUGAGUGCAUUGAAACGCAUUACCUUAAGUUAGAAAAAAAUUAUGAAUAACUCUAACUAUCGUGUAAAAACGAGGGAGUAUAAUCGAAAGUAUUGAAAAAAAAAACCUCAUGUGGGUUACCUUAGGCUAGAAUAAUGAAUCAGGUUGAAACUUGUUCUUCGGGAAAAUUUAGGGAACAAAAACCACCAUUGCCAAUGUUGUGGGCUAUGUUAUGUGACAAUCACAUUUCGUUAUAAGUUGGCCCUUUCCCUGUGAUUAAGAUGGGUCAACUCCCCCUUUUUCUAUGUAGGGUCUGUUUGAUUGCCAGUAAAAUAUUUUCCGUAAAAUGAUUUCUGGAAAAUGUUUUACUUUUCUGUAAAAUGAUUUACUGGAAAAUAUUUUCUGGUGUUUGAUUGAAUCUGUGUAAAAUAUUUUCUGCUGCUUGGCAGAUUUUUUGAAAAUAUUUUUCGGAAAAGUUGUUUUUACAUAUAUUAAUAUAUAUUAAUAAAUUUUUAUAUUUUAAAUUAUUUUUACAUAUAUUGCAAUGAUUUAUUUAUAAUAAUACUUAAUUAUUAAGCUACAAUAUUAAUCGUUAUAAAUUGAAAAAAACUAAUAUCAAAUAAAUUAUUUGUAAUUGUGUUAAAAAAUAUUGAAUAAUUAAAAAAACAAGUUACUGGAAAAUCGAUAAACAGAAACAGUUUUCUACCGGAAAUGAAGGAAGGAAUGAAGGAGGCGAUAGAGAGGAGAGCACGGAAAAUGUCUUACGAAAUUGAAAGGGUAAGACAUUUUCCCUAAAAUGUAACCCAUUUUCCCUUGUUUUGGAGUUCAUUUUCCAAAUGGAAAAUGUUUUCCGCCAAUCAAACGCUGGAAAAGUUGGAAAUGAUUUUCCGGAAAAUCAAUUACGUCAAUCAAACAGACCCUUAUUUUCAGUUGUGGUUGGCUUUAUUAAUAUCAUUAAAAAAAAAGAUAAACUCUAUCAUUAAUCACUAAAUUAUAGAUAAAUUUUAUUUUGAUCAUUGAACUAUUCGAAAGUUUUUAUUUAAUCCACUGGGUUGGUAAGUUUCUUUUUAAGUUCCGCUAGUGAGGUUGAAGCGAUAAUUCAACAAUUGGUACUAUGGAUCAGUACCCAUUGAUGAGUAAAAGAACAUACCUUAGAGCCAAGUUGAUCUGAUGGUCAAUAUUGGAGACCGGAGAAAAAAGAUUGUUUAAAUUUUGGUUCAAAAAUUUCUGAUGUUCAAAGUUAUUUUAUGAAAAAAAAAUUAAACUAUGAAAGAGAAGAGAAAAGAGAGCUUUCGAUAGGUGCUGGUAGUACAGAUAGAGAAAGCCAUAUAACAUUGAUUUUAACAGCCUAGUGACUUAAAUGAAGACUUUUGAAUAGCUCAGUGAUCAAAUUGUAAUUUUUUUUAGUUAAGUGACCAAAACAUAAACAUACCCAUAGUUUAGUGACUAAUAGUGUAGUUCACCAUAAAAAAAAACAAAACUUUUGCUUUUUUGGUAGUUUUUUAGGGAUAAAUCUCAAAAUUAUACUUGAAUUUUGAUUUGUUGUGUAAUUUGACACAUGAAUUUUGAUUUGAUGCAAUUUGCAUGCAUGAAACUUUGAUUGUGGUUCAAAUGUACACAUCAAACUUUAGUUUUGAUUCAAUCAUUCACAUUUAACGAAAUAAAUGUCAAUUUAUUUUUAUAUUCAAUAAAUUGUAAUAAAUAAAACUUAAACUGAUGUUAUAUUAAUAAGAAUUGGAUCGAAUCAAAAUUUCAUGUAUACAAUUACACAAACUCAAAGUUCAUGAGUAAAAUUGCACAUUAAUCAAAGUUCAUGUAUUGUUUUGAGAUUUAUCCAUUUUUUGAUAAGAUUAACGUAUGCUUUCUCUCCUUAUCUUGAUGACUUGCACCUAGUUCGUCACAUAAACCUUUUUUAAUUGAAUUGGUACUCAAAUUUGAAUUACAUCACACUUUAAUACUUUUUUUUUUGUAAUAUUGUUAAAAUAUGAUGAUGUAGCACUGACAACCAAUAAUAUGAUGACUUGUGACAGUUUUGCAUUAUGAUACAUAUGCAUUAAUAAAAAAAAUAAAAUUCUAUUUUUUAAAGAAAUAUAUAUAUUUUUUAAAAUUAUAAAAAUUAUUUCACGUUUAGAAUGAACACAAACAAAUAGAUAUCCAAUUCAAAUAAACCUAUACAUUAUUUUGCGCAAAUUCAUUCCGGAUGUAUUAUUUAGUAAUUUUAUAUAUUUUAAAUUAUUUUAUAAAAUAUCAUGUUGUUAUAUUAUUAUUUUUAAAUUAAAAAAUAUAAGAUAUAUUUAUUUAAAUAAUUUUUAAAUAAAAAAUAAAAAUAUAUAAUACAAUCACAUUUAUUUAAAUAAUUUUUAAAUAAAAAAUAAAAAUAUAUAAUACGAUCAUGUUUAUAUUCAUUCUGGACGUAUUUAGAUUAUUAAGUCAAACUAAAUUUAAAUCAAAUAAAUUUUAAUAUAUUGAUUCAAAUUUAAUUAUAAAAUAUAUAAAUAUAAAAUAUUUUAUUAUUUUUAAAUGAUAAUGUAAAUUUUUUUAAUUGUUGGAGCUAAAUAAGUCCAAAUCUAGAGUUUUCUUUUUUAAAAUUGGUCCUCAACUUGUGGAUCAUAAAUACUUCAAAAUACAAUUAAAUAGAGAAAAUAUUAAAUUUAAUAUUAAGUUUUAAGAUAUUUUGAAAGAGUAAUUAUUUAAUUCACCCAAUUCCACAAACGAGUUGAUGAUAUAUCAAAUAAAUUUUCAUUUUGAAAAUACUAAUUUAUGUUUUUGUAGUUAAGAAAUUAAAAUUGUGAAGAAGAUCCAAAUAUUUUGGUAAUUAUAAAUUUUUUUGGUAAAUUACAAUAACAUGUGAGAAGCCCGAACAAUAAACGCGAAUAACGACUCAAAUCCAGACCACAUUUAGAACAAUAAACAGCCUUAACUAUUGGCUGGGGUUGAAUACUAAUUUUUUGGAAAAGCUAAUGAAGUAUGCUGUGAAAAGUUUUAAAUUUUAAUUCUCCCCCAUGAACUUUCAAAAGCCAUGCACUUUUGCCAAGCUCAUGCCGAGACUAAAGGACUCAAAAUCCUUAGCAAAAAUAAUUCAAAACUUAGCCCAAACUAGACAAUUACUUCAAGGAAAACAACUUCAUUCUCAGCUGAUCUCAUCUGGGUAUCCAUUAUGCACUUUUUUAACCAACCAUCUUCUUAACAUGUACUCAAAAUGUGGUCAAUUAGAUUACUCAGUUAAACUGUUUGAUAAAAUGUCUCAAAGAAACUUAGUUUCUUGGACUGCUAUGGUUACCGGGUUUUCUCAGAAUUUACAUUAUUUUGAAGCCAUAUCUACUUUUUGUGAAAUGAGAAUUGCUGGGGAAAAUCCGACCCAGUUUGCUUUUUCGAGUGUUAUUAAGGCUUGUGCUUCCGUUGGGUUGGUUGAGUUUGGGGAGCAAAUUCAUUGCCUCGCAUUGAAAUUUGGGUUUGGGUCUGAUAUUUUUGUUGUUAGCAAUUUGGUUGACAUGUAUUCAAAGUGUGGAGUUAUGGUUAAUGCUUAUAAUGUUUUCCAAGAAAUGGAGUGUAAAGAUGAGGUCUUGUGGACUGCUUUGAUUGAUGGAUAUGCAAAGAAUGGUCCUUUCGAGGAUGCAUUGUCAGCUUAUAAGAACAUGGUUAAAGAGGGAAUUGGUAUUGAUAAGUUUGUUCUUUGUAGCACUUUAGGUGCUUGUGCAGCAUUAAAGGCUUUAAAUUUUGGGAAAUGUCUCCAUUCAGUUAUGUUGAAGAAGGGAUUUGAGUUGGAGAUUUCAGUGGGAAAUGCUCUUACUGAUAUGUACUCAAAAGUGGGAGAUAUGGAAAGCGCCUCAAAUGUGUUUGGAAUUGACUCUGAUUGUAGAAAUAUUGUGGCUUGUUCUUCAUUGAUUGAUGGAUAUGUUGAAAUGGAUCGAAUAGAGGAUGCUUUAAGUGUUUAUGUUCGGCUCCGGAGGCAAGGAAUUGAACCUAAUGAAUUCACUUUCUCGAGCUUGAUCAAGGCUUGUUCCAGUCAAGCUACACUUGAGCAAGGUACACAGCUUCAUGCUGAAGUGAUUAAAUUCAAUUUUGAUGGUAACCCUUUUGUUUCUUCGGUUCUUGUUGAUAUGUACGGAAAAUGCGGGUUGCUUGAUGACUCUAUUCGAGUAUUUGAUGAGAUUGAAAAUGCCACUGAAUUUGCAUGGAAUUCAAUGUUAAGUGUGUUUGCUCAGCAUGGUUUAGGAAAAGAUGCUAUUCAACUAUUUAACAGGAUGAAGAACGAAGGAGUGGAACCAAAUGCGAUAACAUUUGUCAGUCUUCUAAGAGGCUGUAGUCAUUCUGGUUUAGUGGAGGAAGGGUUAAGCUUUUUUAAAGCUAUGGAGAAGACUUAUGGAGUUAUGCCUAGAGAAGAGCAUUAUUCCUGUGUUAUUGACUUACUUGGUCGUGCCGGACAGCUUAAAGAAGCUGAAGAUUUGAUAAACAAGAUGCCAUUUGAACCAAAUGCUUUUGGAUGGUGUUCUUUCCUUGGAGCUUGCAAAAUCCAUGGUGAUAAAGAAAGAGGUAAACUUGCAGCUGAAAGAUUGAUGCAACUUGAACCUGAAAAUAGUGGAGCUCCUGUUUUGCUUUCAAAUAUUUAUGCUAAGGAGCAACAAUGGGAAGAUGUGAGAACAUUGAGGAAGAUGAUGCAAGAUUUUAAUGUUAAGAAACUACCAGGUUAUAGCUGGGUUGAUGUUGGAAACAAAACCCAUAUUUUUGGUGUUGAAGACUGGUCUCAUCCUCAAAUGAAAGCAAUUUAUGAUAAGCUUAAUGCUCUUUCGGGUCAGAUAAAGGUGGCCGGAUAUGUCCCUUGCACAGAUUCCAUUCCCUUAGAUGUGGAUGUUAGUGUUAAAGAGAAGAUACUUCAACAUCACAGUGAGAGACUUGCCAUUGCAUUUGCACUAAUAAGCAUUCCAAGUGGGAAGCCAAUUAUUGUAAAGAAAAAUUUAAGGGUCUGCUCGGAUUGUCACUCUGCAAUUAAGUACAUAUCAAAGGUGAUUGGAAGAAAAAUUAUUGUCAGGGACAACAGUAGAUUCCAUCAUUUCUCAAAUGGAUUGUGUUCUUGUGGAGAUUUUUGGUAAGGUUUUUGACCUCUUAAAGUUAACAUUAAGGAAAUAUAUAUAUUUCAUCACUUCUUAGAGGUGAACAAUUUUGGAUGCUGGAAAAUCUGCAGAAGAGCUUGAAGGUACAUGCCAUUGCAAAUUCUUUAAACUUCAAACAGUGUGCCUGUCUAUCAUUAAGAAAUGGGAACAUCAUGCAUAUUCCUGUUACAUUUUUCUGUAUUAAUCUGCUUACCGAAGUUUGGUUUCAUGUAUUCUUUAACGGUAUUCGUCUGCAUGUUCCUGUUGUUCUUUGCCACAUUAUAAGCUUACGGAUGCUCGGUUUCAUGUUUUUCUUUGACAGCAUUCUACUGCAUUGCAUUGCCAAUAUGCAAUAUCAAAUUUAAUUAUUCAGUUAACAUUACCACUGAAUAAAACAAAUCGAGUAAACUCAUCUUUACUUAUCAUCAAAUGCACUCUGUACAAGCUAAGUUUUAUUUAAACAUGGGGGGUACUGAAACAAGUUCUAUCCUAAAUUUGUGAAAUUUACACAACUUCUUGAAGGGGGGGAUGUGUAGCUGCUUGCAUUCUAAGGCAACAAACUAUAUAUAGAACCAACUACUAGCAUUCUCUAUUUUCGAACAAGCAUUUGCAGUAAUAUCCAGAAAUGGAAACCAGUAUGUGAAACUAAGCAGUGCUUUCAGAGUGAAGCAUAAGUACAUUGGUUGAGACACUGCAGAAAAUCAUUCAAGCUCUCGGAUAGCGUGAAUGGCCUUUCUUCUUCAGGAACUCAGGGAUGUCCACUGAACCACCUUCACUGAAAGAAGGCCGCCGAUUAAUUCCAAGACCAGUAUCUCCCUGUGUUAGUCGACCUGCCUGCAUUUUAAUGGAAAUCUAGUAUAAACAGGCAUAUGUGUGUGUGCAUGAGUGCGUGAGAGAGAGAGAGAGCAAGAGAGUUACCUGAGACCUUUCACCUUCUUGAUUUUUAAAUCCCGUGGCGAUUAGAGUUAUACUGACCUAAAAGAAAGACCACAGUAACGAUUGCCAUAAAAUUAGUGAUUCAUACUUAGGACCAUGAAUGAUGUUUACCAGGCAAUGUGUAAACAUGACCUUGUUUAUUACCUAAAUGAAGAACCAAGAGAGAAGAGCGGCCUAUAUGGUUUUCAUUGUUAAUUCAAGAGCUUGAAUUAAAAUCAUUGUGCACUCUAUCUAAAUUUGACCUUAUUCUCCAUACCUUAAAUAUCAAGAAGAAACGAAUGACUAAAUAAGCCAGGGUAGCAGAGAUGCAAUCCCAUUGCCAAUCUCAUUGCUGAGAUACUUCGCUAGGAAACACGAAUUAGAUACAUUAGAACUAGCCAAUAGCCACUGACAAUAAACACAAAGGCAAGGCAUCUCUUAUUGGACCAACAUGUUCCUGCUUUUCUGAAUGUUUAAAUAAUUUCAUUGUUAUUCUUGUAACAUAUGCUUUCAUUAUAGUUACAGUUAGACAGAAGGCGUAUGCAAAGUAAUGCGUACACAGUAAAGUUCACCAAUAAAGUCCAAAUUUUAGCCCUACUUCUCAGAAUGUUAAUUCAAUGAACGUAUUGGAGGAACGCAAGCACGAACAAGAGUACAUCUCUUUAUUUUGUGACAGUCAGAGUGCCUUGCAUCUUGUACGAAUCCUGCUUUUUACUCAAGAACGAAACACAUCCGGGUCCAGUAUCACUUCGUUCAUGAGAAAGUGGAACGGUAGAUAUAAAGAAAAUUUAUACCAAAGACAACAUAGCAGAUUUCAUGACAAAGGUAAUGAAUACUGAUAAGUUUGUUUGGUGUCAAUCCUCUUUUGGCCUGAUAGAGACGUGAGCAACAUGAAAAGUGCAAGGUAGAAAGAAUGGUGUAAGAUAUGAUUAUCCCAAUCAAAUCUUCAAGUGGGAGAUUGUGGUUGAUUAAUGCCAAGUAAAAAGUUGGUUGCAUUGAAAGCCACCAAAUUAGGCUAGUAGUUGCAAGUUGGAAACUUAUUAAAGAGAUAAUUGUUGUUUUAGUCUCUUACAUUAAUGGGUUAUUUAUAGUUUGGUCCCUGAAGCUCAACUAUUAAUAGCCUAACCAUUUUAGCAUUUAAGAUCAUCCCAAAAUCAGAGAAGUUAGAGAGUGUUGUUUCUCCUUUUAUCAAAAGAGAAUUUUCAUUAUUUUCUCCUUGUUAAAGUGAGAAAAGUUGUAAUUCCUAAUUUUCUUAUAGUGAAAUUCUUCUAUCCUUGCCCAUGGUGCUUUUCACCUAUAUUAAUUAGGGGGUUUUCCACGUAAAAUCUGUCUUCUUUAUUCUCGCUGUUAUUCUUUCACAAUUUCCCUCUACUCGACAACCGUAUUCGCAACAAGUGGUAUCAGACUAGGUUUGAAUGUGUAUGUCUACUAUUUACAUUCUCUGUGGUUGCCACUAAAAGGUGGAUCCUCCACAACAGAAAGUAAGUUAGAUUAUUACUUGCUCACCUAAGGUGUUGGGCACUAUUCACAUCAAAUAGUGAAAUAGUGGGAGCUAUUUGUUAUAGAAGCAAUGGAAACAAAAUUUGAGAUUGAAAGUUACAGAGUUUUAGAGAAUGUUGUUUCCAUUGCUUCUAUAAUAGAUAACUUCCACUAUUUCACUAUUUGAUGUAAAUAGUACCCAACUUCGAUGAGUAAGUAAUAAUCUAACUUAUGUUCUGUUGUGGAGGAUCCAUCUUUCAGUGGCAACCAUAGAGAAUGGGAUAAGUAGAUAUACACACCCAAACCUGGCUCUGAUACCAUUUGCUGCAAAUAAAACAAAAUUGCAACUGAUAAUUUGAGAGAAUAAAGAAGACAUAGGUUUUAUGUGAAAAAUUCCUAAUUAGUAUAAGGGGAAAAAACCACGACCAAGGAUAGAAGAAUUUCACUAUGAGGAAACUAAGAAUUACAACUUCUCUCACUUUAACAAGGAGAAAACAAUGAAAAUUCUCUCUUAAUAAAAGGAGAAACAACACUCUCUAACUUCUAUGGCCGUGGAAUGAUUUUCGGAUUGUGAUGAUCUUAAAUGCUAAAAUGGUUAGGCUAUUUAUAGUUGAACUUCAGGGAUCAAACUAUAAAUAACCCAUUAAUGUAAGAGGCUAAAACAAUAAUUACCCCUUUAAUAAUUUUCCAACUUGCAACUACUAGCCUAAUUUAGUGGCUUUUUUGAUGGCUUUCAAUGCAACCAACUUUGACUUGGCAUUAAUCAACAACAGUGCUGUAAUGGCAUACUCUUGAUUAGAACUACAGUGAAGUGGAUGACAUACUUAAAUUAUGGUGAUCAAACUAUAGGUAUGCAAAUGACUGUUACCAAGUCUAAAACUUUGGUAUCACUAAAUUAGAACAAGUAUGAACUUACUUGGCCACUAAGUGAUGGAUCUAUCACUGCUCCAAAUAUUAAGUUGGCAGCAGGAUCCACAAGAUCAUAUAUAACCUCAGCUGCAGCAUUGACCUACAGAAAAAAAAAAAAGAUCACAUGUCAAAUGAUGCAUACGAGAAGAGAAAUAAAGUAACUCACUUGUAUUGCUUGAGUGAGAGAGUUAGUAGCAAAGGAAUACCUCAAACAAUGUUAGAUCACUUCCACCAGUUAUGUUCCACACGAUUCCAGUGGCUCUUUCUAUACCAAGAUCUAACAAAGGUGACUGGAUUGCAUUUAGUGCAGCAUCUCUUGCCCUUGUUUUUCCUACAAACCAGACAAAGUAACUUGUCAAUAGAAAGGCAAUUUAAAUACAUAAUUACCAACAAAUAAACUUAAGUGUUGCAAUGGGAAGAGAUCACGACCAUAUGACAUGAAAAAUCAUCAAUAAGUACUGCCAAUAAAAGGAAAAAGGAAAGAAAAUGGAUAAUCUACAAUCACUUGUAUUUUGUUACAUGGCGAAAAGAAAAGAGGUAGAAACUUCAUGCAUUCAUAGUCGAAACUUUGGUGCAUUAUCUUCUGAGAAAAAAGAAAGUCCAAUCCGUACCGUCUUUAUCAUUUAUGAAACACAACUGAGAAACAUGUAACAUGAUGGUGGUCCAAGUUCUUUGCAUUAAGGUAUGAAUGAACCAUGCAAUAAGCUUGAGAAACCUCUAUUUUUUUCUCCUAUUUUCUCCCUACUUCGACAUUAUAAACGCUAAUGAUCUCUUUGAAUUACCAGUUGCAGUUCCUAUCCCCAUUAGUGAAGAACCUGCAUUUGCCAUUAUAGUUCGCACAUCAGCAAAGUCCACAUUCACUAGCCCCGGAAUCUGCAAUGAGGAGAUUCAAAAGCAAUUAGGAUCCAGAAGUAUGGUUCCAAGCUUCUAAUACUUCAACUUCUGUGCCGUCCAAAACAUUUCACAUAUGAAUGUUGGAUUGGGAGGUUUGCAUACCGUAAUUAUAUCAGAGAUACCACGAACACCUUGUCGAAGAAUAUCAUCAGCCAGAUUAAAUGCUUCUGUUACUGGAGUAGAUGGGGAAACUGCAGUCAACAACUUGUCGUUUGGAAUAACAAUUAGCGUGUCAACAUUUUCUCUUAGAGCUGCAAUUCCUUCCUGUGCUUGAACAGUCCUUCGUCUUCCUUCAAAAGAAAAAGGGGUAGUGGCAAUACCGACAGUUAAUAUACCCAUGGACUUCGCAAGCCCUGCAAUUACAGGAGCUCCCCCGGUUCCAGUUCCUCCGCCCAUUCCAGCCUGCAAAUGCAAACUUGAAAUCCUAUGUAAAAUGUUAAAGAAAGAUACUAGAAAACAAAUGAAAGCCAAGAUCCCAAGUGUUGGUCCUAACUUUGAACUAAUAUGAAUUUAUCACGACCCCAUGUGUAACAUUACCAGAAGAAACGAUUUUUCCAAUGGAAAAUUAGAGAACAAAUAGUUUUAUGAACUAAUAUGAAUCAUCAAAUAUAAGACAGAUCAGACUCUAGGAAACAGCAUGAUCAGAUAUACAACAAAAGUUUUAUGGAUUUUUACCUUAAAUGCUAGCAACACAUAUUGGGUGCUCACCUCAUAAUAACAACUUAAGCUAGGGUAAAAGUACCGUGAAGGCCCCUGUACUAAGAGUCAAAUUGCAUUUUGCUCCCUUUACUCAAAAAAUGGGCAAAUUAGUUCCUGUAUGUUAGAUUAAAGAGUAAACUACAUUCUGUUAAAAUUUUUAUCCAUUUCUACAAUUUGUUAAAAACUAGCAUGGCUAAUGGAAUAACCGGAUAGUUAUACGUGGCGUACUACUUGCACCUCAUGCUAACGUAUAGGGACCAAAUUUUAACAGUAAAAGUGGAUGGAAUUUUUAAUAAAAGGACGAGUUUGCUCUUUGAUCUAAUGUAUGGAGACUAGUUUGCCUAUUUUUUGAGUAGAGGGGGCAAAAUGCAAUUCGGCUCCUAGUAUAAGGGCUUCCAUGGUACUUUUACCGUUAAGCUAGCUCCCGGAGAAACAAUAUAUAAUUCUUACACACCUUGACACUAGACUUCGAGGAUAUUCAUUAACGGUUCAACUGAUUCAAUGGAUUUCAUGAAACAGGAAACCAUGUAUCAGCAGCCAAAUUGUAUUUAUUAUAUGAUUAAUGCAUAUCACUUUAAUUAGGACGAUAGGAAUAUUUUCUUCAAGGAAUAUCAUUCACUAGUCUCCACGAGGAGUCCGGUUAAAAGUAAUAAACAGAACAUAAAAUUGUUGCAUAGCAUGUUUUGCUCAAUUUUGCAUACUAUUACAAACAAAAGCAACAAAAUGGUGACGGUUUAGAUUCAAGAUACUCAUGAAAUCAGAUUAGUAACACUAACAGUAAUAAUCCAAACUCUACUCAAAUGAUUAAAACUGUAGAUUGGGAACUUACAGUUACAAAAACCAUAUCAGCACCAUAAAGAGCCUCUUCUAUUGACUCUUUGCUCUCUUUCGCAGCAUUCAUGCCAAUUUCUGGAUUCCCACCAGCACCAAGACCCCUAGUUAGCUCCUGACCGAUUUGCAAACGACGCUCGGGGAAGAUAGGUGACAUUUUCAUAGCUUGAACAUCAGUGUUAACGAUCCAAAACUCUACACCCUGCAUUUCGCUCUCUAUCAUACGAUUAACAGCAUUUGACCCACCACCACCAACACCGAUAACUUUGAUCUUAGCUUCAUUGUUAUUAUUUGAACCAUUCAUGUCUCCUAAGAUCUCGGUGACACUUCCACUAGAACUCUCUUUUCUUGGAUUGGUUAUCAUUUUGUUCCCUUCACCUCUAAGCAUUGGAACUUCAUGAUGUAGGUUUAGAAAACGGUCUUUGUUUUGAUACAGACUGACACCGUGAGAAUUGGUGGAACAUCUAAGAUGAGGCAUGAUAGACCUUAGGCCGGCACUUGAAAACCCAAUUUUCCCAUCACAGAGCUUAAGGCAGCUAAGUCUACCUGUAGGAUUUUCCAAUAACACUCUCCCUCCAAGAACAUUAAGUACCCCAAUUGGUCUAAUAUCAGAAGCAGUUGUCAUUUUAUAAGGCAGCACUAGGAAUCAAAUUUAUGAUACAAGCCAGAUAAUUUAGAAGCCUAAACAGCUUAAAUUUCAAGUUUGCAAUUUCAUUCAAUACCUGCAUAAAACCCACAAUUAAAUCAAAAUUAUAUUCCCAAACACCUAGUAAAACCCAUUAGCUAAAACACUAUCAGUGUCCAUUUUGCAGAUUGACCUUAAAACUAAAAGUAAUCACUAAAGGGCUAUAACUUUCUCAAAUGAAGAGCAUCAAAGUGAAGUAUAACAUCAAACAAGUUGCCAAUAUACAUUCAGAAAUUACACCAUAUGCACACGCACACUACCUAAAAUGCCUCAACUUUGAAGUUCACAGCAAACCAAAUUUACAAUUCAAAGUAAAAUGUUCAAAGAUAAAGUGUACAAACAAGACAAAAUGCAUCAAAAAUUUUAUCUGGGUAUUAAUUAAAAGGAGAAAAGAAAGAACCUGAAAGAGAUUCAGAGUGGACUAAACCAGAAACAGCAAAGUUCCCUCAGGGCAUUUGAGUGGCUGAAAAGCCCAAAGAUUGUGGAAAUGGGGGCAAGGUUUUUUCGUUUUUGGAUUUUAGCAAUGCGGUUUCCUUCGCCAGGUUGUUGUUAAAAAACAAAAUUACAAACCCCAACAUAAAGAAAAUAUCUAGUGAAGUAAAGAGAAGAAGGCCAUAAUUUAUGAGAAAUAUGAAUAGUGCCCUUAUCGGCCAGGGUUUAAGUGUAGCCCUUAAAAAUGGUUAAACCCUUUUUUGUUUUUGUCUUGAUUGUCACUGGUGGGACUGGGGGCUCGUCACAAACAAAAGUUCUUUUCUUUCUUUAGAUGGAAGAAAUGAAAGAAUAAGACGUUUCAUUUAAGUGGGGAUGAUAGCCAAAGUUUCCAUUUUUCAUUUUCUCACAAUCCAAACAAAGGUCCGAGUUUCCAAUAGUCGACAUCAAAGGCCUCUCUCCCAAUUCCCCACCCAAUCUUUGCUUUUUCCAUUUUCACUAGCCUGUUGUAAUAUUAGUUGUGGAUUUCAAGACCCUUUGUGAUAAGAUAAGAUUCUAGCCCACGAAUUGAUGCUUCCUUGCUCAAAUUAACCCCUCCAAAUAAACUUCGAUGAUAUUGAUUCCAUCAAUACCGCUUUAUUCGAUUUAAUCAAAUAAAUAAAAUUUAUAUCCAUUCAUAAAUCUCCUUUAUUCGAAUCAAUACUACUUCAAAUAUUUUAAAUCAAUCCAAUUACCUAACCCGUUCUAAAAAUUAUACAACAAUAUUUAAAUUAAAAAAAAUUUAACAUAUUCGUGAUCAAUUUGUGACUUAAUUCAAUCAGCUGAUUUAAUUUUAAUAAAAUAAAUUAUUAACAAUUUAUACGAAUUUUUAAAAAAAUUCAAUUCAAUCACCAAUUCAGUCUAGUCUAGCUGAUCCAACACGUGUUGAAUUCUAAACUUUCUGUAUACUUACAUUCUCAAAAAUUAGGAAUCAAACAUUAUCGAUGAAACAAUUUAUCGCCCCACGAAAAUCUUGGGGCCAAAUUUGAGACUAAGAUGAUAUACAAGCAACGACAUACCUUUCCAUGACUUGUGUGAACAUUAAAACCAUAUACAUACAUACAUAUAUAUAUCAUUAGUUUAGACUUCAGAAAUUUGAUUAUUCAUAAAAAUCAUAUUCCCAGAAGUCUUCUUUAUAAAUAUCCACCAACUAUCAUGUGUCUAAACGUGUUUUGAUGAUGUUCUUCAGCUUGAGGUUAUGUCAUUGGUUUUGAGAGCUUCCACCGUCAAUGCCUGCAUCAUAUUCCAUGGAUUUUUACAUUUUGUAGCAUAAGCAUUGCAAUUACUGAUCUAAGAUGAUGAGGGAAACAAAUAGAGAAGAGAAGGGUAAAUAUCCAUUUUCGUAACUGAACAAGGUUUAAAUUGGUACCUAAGGUUUGCUUCAAGGUUCAAUUCAGUAACUAAACUAUUUUGGCCCAAUUGAAUACCUGAACUUCGCUUUAUAGUUCAUAUUGGUCCAAAUAAGACAUUUAAUGUCGGUACCAAUUCAAACUAAAAAGCCAAGUUUAGGUGCCAAAUUGAAUCUUAAAGCCAAGUACCUAAUUGGAACAAAAAAAAACCUUAGGAACAUUGAAGCAAAGUUUAGGUACCUAAAUGUAUAUUUACCCAAAAAAGAAAUAUAACUAAAAUACUUGCCUUGAGCAUGCAUCUUCUUUUCUCGCUCAUAAUGGACCACUUAGAUUUCUUCUCAUUACCCUUAGUUUCUCUUUAACUUUCUGGGCUUUGGUUUGUGUUUUCAUUGACCAUUCCUCAAAGUACUGCAAGGACAAAAAAACACCAAAAAUAGGAUGAACAAAGCAAAAAAAUGAAUCUAGUAUGAUGCUUGUAGCCAUCAAUGCUUAUAUUUCCUACUCUUAUGCAUGUUGCCCCCAUCAUAAAGUUAUAUAACUUUUCCCCUUCUGAUCAUCUUUUUUUAUUCUCUACUUCAUAUGGUGCAUUGUAAAGCACAUGGAAUCAGUUGAAUGAUUUACCUGUUGCUUUCUUUUCCUCUCGAGUUCCACCUGUUGAAAUGCAAGUAAAAUGAGAUUGAGCUGCCAUAUUAUAUAUGAUAAAAGCUACAUCAAGAUCUGAAAUUUCGAUAAAUGCGAAAAGUAAUACGAAUGUUACCAAAGCCUGCUUGAGGUGAGUAUUCUCUUGUUUCAAUUGGUUCAAUUCUGCUUCUAGCUCAACUGUAUAUGCCUGUUAAAUAUAACCAACCUUAAGAAUUGAAGUAUUAUGCCUAUAUACUAAUGACCUACACAAUAGAAGAUUAUUUCUCUACCAGUAAAUAUAUAUGUAUAGUUGUAUACACAUGCAUAUAUAUGCAUUCACUUCCAGCAAACAGUAGUUGUUGGUAGUACCUGUUUUCUAGCUCUAGACCUUGCAGCUGAUUCCCUAUUCUUAAUCAUCCUGCGUUGCCUUCUCUCGACUACUUUUUCUAUUGGACCAUCAAUGAUUCUUUUCCUUCCUCGUAGUCCACCUAUCUCUAUCCCGAAUUGAGUGGCUGCAUUAUCAACUUGAUUGGUACAUAUCCCAUCUGGUGAUACCGGACUUAUUGGUGAUACCACUCCCAUUGCCUGUCCCGGUCCAAAGCCACCAGCUGCACCUACUUUUCCGUUAUAACAGAUGGCUGUUGACGGUGGGGCAGCAGCUGGCUGGUAGCCGCCACCCCCCUUACCAUCAUUAAGAUAGCGUGAUGAAUCACCAAGGACUCCACUUGGAGGCAUUGUUUGAUAUGUACUCCCACCAAAGCCACCACUGCCACCCAUUCCCAUAAUUGGCCUGGGAACAAAACUCGGACCCACUGCAGGGUUAUUGCUAGCCUGAUGCAACCCGAACUGUUGUUGAUGUUGCGAAUGCGGCGGUACUGCCGGUGGUACGCAUGGUUCCCGAACUACACCUGCCUUAACCAAGAAAUCCUCCAAGGUCAUUUCCCCAAAAGUCGGUUGUCGAGUACUAGUAUUCUCAGCAUUCUGCACAUUGCUAUUGUUACUCUGUCCUUGUCCUUGCUGCACUUUAUGUAUCUCAGACCAAACUUCAUCAACAGUUUUCCGACACAAUGGUGCCGGAAGUGAAAGCGAGCCUUGUCGAGGCAAGCUAGACUGCCUAGCUACACCUUUACUGCUUGCUGUUUCAUUCAAAGAUAAGUUAACAUGGUUGCUAACCUGUUCAUUUACACCAUUGUUGUGAUGAUUGUUAUUAAUGGAGUUUGUAGCUUGGUUUUCUUCAGCAUUCCAAAUGCUGGUAAGGAACUCGUCCAUGUUCAUCGACCCAAAGUUCUUCCCACAUAACGUGUGCUGGAACUCAUCGAGAGUGAGGGAAUAGAUUGAGGAUUGUCUUCCAAGGGCCGAUAAUGGAUGAUUCUUUAGCUGCUGGUCCACCUCCUUCAAUGUGGACUCGACCUCGCCAACCUCAGAGUCCUCAACCACCAUUUUUGCGAUGAAAUCUUGCUUUAAACUAUAAAAAACGAGAUUAUAAUCGAUAAAUAAGUAUUGUAGCAGAUUGUUAAAGGUGGGGCCAAAGCAUGAUUCUUGAAUAUCAACCCAACAUGUAAGCAAAAAGUAAAAUUUAAGGGAAAAAAAGGGUGCAUUAGACUUUCACUUAGAACAGUCAAGUAAAUAAAUUGAAGUACUAGUGGGAGUUUAAGUUCAGUAAAGUUGAUUUAACAAUGGAGGAAAUAGAAAAAUAAAUAAGAAAAAGAUAAAAUGGGGUAGUGCAUUUUUUUAAUGUAAAAGAUAAAAAGCUUCAAAAGUGGGUGAACAAUGGGAAUCUAUUAGCUUAUCUUGUUUCACUCCACCACCCUCCAUGAAUUGAAAUAAAAUAUUGUUUAUCAUGUCAGAAGAUAUAACAAGUGCUUUAUAUUUUCGAUAUUUAUUUAAAAUUUUUAUGUCAAUUUUCUUUGGAUACUAUAUCAAUUGUGAUUAGUUUAAUAUUAACUCACAUGUAGAAAAAUUAAUAAUUAUAAGUAAAUAUAAUUUUAAAACUAGAACAAUAAUGGUACCUACCAAUACAAAUUAUAAUCUAUGACCUAUCUAGGCAACAGGUCAGGCUACAAUUAAAAUAUUUAAAAUUAAUUAUAAAAUAUAUAUUAUUAAUUCGGACACCAAUUAAGCUAAAAAUAAUAUAAUUAAGCUAUAUUAGUAAUACUAAAGAUAUAUAAGUAAUUUAAUUUUUAAAAAAUUAAAAUUCCUAUUUUUCUUUCACCUUCCUAUUCAAUUUUUAUCAUUUUUAUUUAAACUAUUAGCAUUUUUAUUUCUUUAUUGAUAAUUAUUUGCAUUUCUCAAUUUCUUUAAUAAUAAUGAUUUUUAAAAGGUAAUUAUUACUUAACUAAUAAUUUCUAUGAUUUUUAGGUUAUUGUGACUUUUCACCUAAUCUUUUAAAAAAAAUUCACCCACAAUAAUUGAACUCAAAUCAAACCUUUUUAAGAUUCAAGCUGUGACUCCUAACCAUGAAUUCCUUUACACCUAAUUGAUUUCUAAAUUUUUCAUAAUGGUUAAAAGAUAAUAUUCAAUAUAAAAAUUAUACUUUAUAUAAAUAUAAAAUAUUUUAAAUACAAAGAAGAAAACAUAGCAGGAGCAGAACCAAGAAGAUGAUCUUUAUAUAGUGGAGCAAAGAUAUUGCUGGGCGAAGAAGGGAGCUACAAAGAAUCUUUCCUACUAUGGAAAAGAUGAUAACAUCCAUUGACUAAUCAAAUACCGCUAAAUUAAAAUUUAAUACUUUUUUUUUCCCUUCUCAUAAGAUGAUAAAAAAGGGCGAGCUACCGAACAAAAAUACCUACUAUACUAUUCAAUAAUUUCUUCUCUAAAGUGUAAAUAUGUAUUUGAACAAUUUACUUUUGGAUAUGUCUUACCAUUACAUCGACUUUUGGUGUUGCAAAGUCGAUGUAAUGAUAAGAUAAGUUUAAAUAUAAUAAGAUUAAUACAUAUGUAUAUAUUGUCACACGAUUGGGAAAAAAAAUGUUGCAUGAUAUAUAGAUAAUUGAACGACAUAUGGAUCAGGCAAAGUGAAGGAUACAUAAAGGAGCUAAAAGGCUCACCCUAAGUUAAAUUAAUGACUAAGUAAUUGAGUUGAUAAAUAAAUAGGGUGAUAGUAGUGUUUGAUGUAUGUAGUGACAAGUGAUUUUUGUUUACUAUUAAGAUAAAUCUUAUGUUCAUCAUGCCUUCUCUAACCCUUAUCAAAAUAUAAUAUAUAUGCAUGGAAUGGGACAAGCCAUAGAGAGACUAUAGCUUCAAAACAAGGAUUGAAAGAACACAUAAAGGGAUCCCUAUUAACGCAUUUCUUGAACCAUAAAAGAAGCAAAGCAAGAAACUGAAGAAGCAUGUAUGAACAUACCUGGUUUCAACAAAGGAAAGGAGAUAUGAUUGGAGCUGAAAAAAGAUGAGAAAAUAGGAGGGUUAUUGUGGUUGAAGAAAAUGGUUAGGCAGUGGGGAAUAUAAACAAAAACGUAGAGGGUGUAAAAGUGAGUUUAAAGUUUCCCGGCGCAGUGGGGUCCAAAAAAGUCAAUUGGAAUCGACCCAAAGGAAGGGAAAACUUAAUAAAAAUUGGGUAAUUGUGCUGUCUCCCCAGUUCCAAAAUGGUAUCGCCAUUGCUUUGAUCGACACGUUUCGGCCAUGUGGCUUGCUCUGCUUUGCUUUACUGCUCUUAGCUCAACGCGUGUGCUGCUGCUGCUGCCUCUUUUGCUCAUCUUAAGUCGACGGAAACUAAAACCCUUCUCCGUCAGCAACCUAAACCUCCCAUUCUACUACUUCUUAUUGGUAUUAAAAUAUUCCUAUUCUACAUCAAAUACAGGAAGAAUGCUUCUGAAACAAGAACAUAGGUUAAAUCCAUCAUCUUAUUAAUUUGAUUAGUCAAUCGGUACAUAUGAUUCUAAUCAAAUAAAUUAUAAAAAUUUACAAAAUUAGAAAAAAUUAAAAAUUUUAAAAUCGGAUUCAAUCAAUUUUUUAACGUGUUUCAUACUAGUUGCAAUUGUUUUUGUCUCUCAUCGGAGUCUGGACCAUAUUUCAACUUAUUUUCAAUUCAACCGGUUUGGUUCAAUUAUGAAAACACUAAAAAGAAUUGACCAUGAAGUUUAUUGUAAUCCGUGUUGUUUGGAUCGGGAUUGAUUGGGAAAUUAAUCUAAAAAUGACUUUAAACUAGUUAGGCCAAAAAUCGAUACGAAACCAGUUAAAAACUGGUUGAACUAAUUUUUUUUAAAAAUUUUAAAUUUUUUUAAUUAAUCGGUAUAAGAAACAUUGAUUAAAAUUGACAUAAAAUAAUUUAGAAUCGAACUCAAAAUCUCAUACUUAUAACAUAAUACUCUUGCUACUAACCGAAGUUGAUGACAUAAAUAUGCAGUUAUAAUAUUUGAAAUCAAUACUUUAAAAACUAAAAAAAAGACUAAAAAUGAUAAAAGAGACCAAAUCCACAAAACAAUUUUUUUGUUAUGCAUACAAAUAUAUAUAUUUUUAAUUAUUAUUUGACAAUAAUAUUGUGCCUCUGUAAUAAUCAAGAACACAAUUGAUAUUAUUUUAAAGUUAAUUGAAUAUGAUUUUUUAACUAAAUUUUAUAUACUACUUCCGUCGAUCAUAAUUUAAACAAGAUAAUAAUUUUUUCGUGAGUUACUUGUUCCUCGUAACCCUUUAAUCUACGAGCAUAUUUAAAAUACCAAUUAAUAUAAAUUGUCUUUUACAUACGAAAUAAUAUUUGUGAUGCAACUUUUUAUUAAUUAAAAAGGUAUCAAUGAGCCAUAUUUUCUUAUAUCAUUAGGUUAUACAUACAAACCCACCGAGGACAUAUUAAUGUAGAGAUAAUUGAUGAAAAUUGUAUAUUUCCAUAAGUAAAUAGUUUGGCUAUUUCAAUAAUUUAUCAAAUACGAUGAAAUUGAUGUACUUAGUACACAAAAACCUAAUAAAAAGUUAUUGACGUCCAUCAAGAACUCGUCGUAUACAAAGCAAAACCCUAUUUUGAUACAAAGUUACUUUUAUUUAUAAUUAUUCUUCGAUCCUUAAAUCAAACGAAAAUAUAUUUAGUCGUACUUGAAUAAUAUAUUCUAGAUUGUUACAAUAACAAUAAUACCAAUUGAGUUAUAUUAAUAUAUUUUAGUUUAUUGAUAAAUGAAUCUUAGCUCGAUUGGAAUGAGUAUUAUCCUUAAUAUAAGAGGAUGUGGGUUCAAGUGCAUUGAAGUGCAUUAUCCUCUUAUUUAUGGAUUAGGGAGGGACUAUUGAUAAUUCUAACAGUAAUAUUUAAUAUAUUUCCAAAAAAAAAAUUAAAAUGUAUUCAAAUGUGAUACUACAAAGUUAUGGUUAGACAUGUGAGGCACGUGCACUUUUAUUUUUGUGGGACAGUGUGAAAAGUGAAGGAUGAAAAUAUGGGUUUAGAAUUUAAAAGGACGACAACAUCAUGGGUGGGUUCGUUGGAAUAUGGGAAUGGGAUUGAUAAGGUCGCUGUUUUAGGGGGCUGCUUUUGGCUAUUUUUGCAUUCAUUUUAUGAUUUAAGUUUAAUUUUAUUGAAUUUGGAACAACAUUCAGAUAAAACUCUCUCAUUAAUGUCGACUUUAAGAUUUAAAUUUGAUUCAGAUGUUUAAGGAAGAAAUUUACUUCCACUUCUUUGAAAACAUAUAAGAUCGAACCACCCUCAAAUGCAUCCUUCAUCUGAAUAUAGUAGUAAGUAUGUUUGAAGCUAUCAACGAAUGUCGCACUGUUGAUAGCAAUGGUGAGACACAUUGUGCUUCUAAGAAAACAUAAAUUCGAACCUUAAAAGACGAUAUUAUUGGAAAGGAUAGUCACGAAUCCCGAACAUGAAUCGUAAAAUGAACAUGCUGGAUACCAAGAUGAAAAGUAUGUUUGAAGCGAGUAACCGAUUUAGUCUUUUUCUCUGAAUUAGUGUAUCGAUCAAUUCUUUAUUCAAUAGAUCCGGCCAAUCGGUCUAAUUCCAACAAUAUUGAGAAAAGGGAAUUUGCAGCUCUUUCAUUUCUUUUUGGCUCAUUUACAAAGAUGAAUGUAUAUAUUUUGCAAUGCUCCUAUCAGUAUACAUAUUCUAGAAUUUAAUAAAAGGUUUUCUAAAGUUCCGACACUUGCCCAAGAUUUGUUGAUGUUGCUUAAGUGGGAAGAGAGAGAAACAAAAGAGGCGGGGAAGAUCAAUGUUUUUUAAACCAGAUCAGUGGUCGAACUGAUUAGGUUAUUGGUUUGUUGGUUCAAUUAAAAAUUAUUAAAAUUUAAAAAUAUUAAAAAAUCCUGAUUCAACUGGCUCCUGAUCUAAUUGGUUCAAAGACACUUUCCAAAUGGUCCCUCGAUCAAUUCUCGAUCUAACUAAUUGAUUCGAUUCAAACAACACUGGAAGACAUGAUUAAGAGAAUAAUGGUGGGAAGUUCACAGUAUAGGGUGUCGAAAGUCUUAUUCUUUAAAGAUAGUCUCUUCUUACUUUUAAUGAGCGGGAGCUAGUUGUGCAUACUUUUCGACAAUUAUUCUUUUCUUGAUGUUUAUGGGAUGUGUCAGUGACUUUGCUAAAGCGUGUGCUAGUAUAUAUCCCUUGAGUCACGUGUCACCUCGUCGGAUCUUUAAAAUCUUUAUAGUGAUAAGUUAAUCUACCUUACAAGUGACAUAUGAGGUAUGGGAAGAUCUUUACUAUUGAUAAGGCAGAGGUAGGUGGUGUACAUUAUAGAAGCUAUGAAAACCUUUCUUUAUGGAAAAGAAAGAGAGAGAUUGCCAAAUUGGUUAUACCGAUAAUCCUUAAGGGCUGUGUUUGUUAAUAUCCCUUAUUGUGAUCUUUGAUUCUAUUAAACAACACUAGUUUUCUUGAAGAUCAUAGCUACAGAAAAUAUAACACUUUGCUUUAUUCCAAAAUGUGGGAUUAAGGGAAUAAGAUGGAUAAAUUACAAUGACCAUAAAUGAAGGAAAGUAUUAAUGAGAUGCCUUGCUUAUUUUAAGAGUAAAUUAUAUUCAAGGUUAAUUAACUAUUAAUAAGUUUGUGUCUUGGUCAUUUAAACUAUUCGAAAGUUUUUAUUUAAAUCAUUGGGAUGUUAAAAUUUUCUUUUUAAAAUCUGAGUAACGAGCUCCAACUAAUGAUUCAACAAUUCAUAGCGUGGAUCAAUAUCCAUUGAUGAAUAGAAGAACCUUAAAUUCAAGUUGAUCUAACGGUCAGUAUUAGAUAUUAGAGAAGAAAGUUGUUUGGGUUUGUAGAUUCGUGACUUUUAAAGUUAUUUCAUGAAGAAAAAAAAUUGUGAAAGAGAAGGAGAAGAAGAGCUUCCGAUUGAUGCAGACAACGCUAAUAGAGAAGGUCAUACAACAACAAUUUUAACAGCCCAUUGGCUUAAACGAAAACUUUUAAAUAGUUCAAUGACCAUAUUAUAACUUUUUGAAAUUAACCAAAAUGUAAAUUUACUAAUAAAUUACUGACAUUGGGUGUAAUUUACCCUUAUUUUAAUCUGCUUUGGGUGCAAAGGCCAAAACUUAUAAGAAAAUAAUUUUAAAAAAUGGCCAAAAUCUAUUGUCUGUAUUAAAUUCUGUAAGUUAAUAACUACAUCAUCUAAUUCAACCAUGUAGAAACUACAAAAGAACCAUGUAGGAACUGACAAACAAUCACAUUACAUACACACCAAUAUUUGGAUAUAAAGCUUCAUAAAUUAGAUCCUUAAAAAAGAAAAACCCUUCCCUGCAUGAAAUUAUAUAGGUCAACUCAAUCCAUCACCUUGGAACAUGUGGUACAAGCAUUAGAUGAUACCAUAGGAAUUGCAGUGGAAAGAUCAGAUAUAGGUAACAAGCAAUUAGCAAGUAAAGCAUUGCUAGUUGCAGUGAAAAAAGCUUCCCAAUAAUGUGGUGGAGGGAUACUAUUAACAGCUUCGAUAUUGAUCUCGAAAAGCUCUUCGUCUCCUUCUUCAUCUUCAUUUUUCAUCUUUGUUAUAAUCUGGGUUUCGCUGCUCUUUCCUCCAUGAUCUACAAUUUCAUCUUUGAUACUGAACGAAGCCAUUGAUUUCAGUGUUGAGUUUGUGAAAGUUUGGAGCAUCCAGCUUGUGUUUAAAUAUGUGGAGAUGGGGGGUUUGGGGUUAGUGGGGUUGAGGGAAUAGGUGGGAAGUAGAACGCUCUUCAACAAAUUCACAACAAAGUUUGGUCAAAACAAGCGACAAAAUCAAACAUCACUUUUCGGACUCUUGACGUUGCUUUUCCCAUGGGUAAAAGUACCUAUUUUAUCAUCUUUGUCAUAAAAAUAUCAAAGAGUGAAUUAAUCAUACGUUUAAAUUUUUAUUCACUUAUACGUGAUUAAUAGAAUAAUCAGAUACUAACACAUGGCAUGUCAUAAGUAAAAAUGCUGACGUACAAGAAUCAAUUUUUUUCGUAUAAUUAAACUACUUUUUAUAUUUGCUUUACAAUUUAUGAAGAUUAAUCAUUUCAAAAUUUAUAAUUAUCUCUUCCAAUAAUGUCAUGUUCAGGGCUUCAAUCUGAGCUCUCUACGAAAGUGUAACGUGACAUACUAUUAUAUCUGCUACCUGUUGAUAUAUUUAAGCUUCCUUUAACGACUACAUUUACCAUAGCAAUUUCUUUUGGGAUAAAUAUCAAUUUGAUAAAUGAACUUUGAUUUGGUGCAAUUAUACACAUGAAACUUAAACUGUGUUUCAUAUUUAUGUACGAAACUUUGAUUUUGAAUUCAAGUAUACAAAUUUAAAUAAAUGAAUACACAAGUUUAUUUUCAUAUUGGAUUAAUAUAAUUAUUUACCUAUGCAAUCUAUCAACAUAAAACCUUGCCAAUUCGAUAAUAUUGAAAAAUGAAUUAAAUCAAAAUUUUAUGUAUAAAAUUAUACAAAAUCAAACUUCUUAUAUAGUUUUAAUAUUUAUCUUUCUUUUUUUUUUGUCUCUAACCUCAUUUUUUUCACUAAAAGUAAAUAUUUAAAUUAUUUAACAUAUAAGGUGGAAAAAAUAUUUUUUUCCCAAAAAGAAAUUGUAUAAAAGAAAAAAUGUUGUGUCAAUUAAACUUGGGGGUUGGUCUCCUAAUUAACUGUUCUUAAUAUGACAUACAUGUAAUCCAUACUGAACAAAUAUUCUGUCUUUAUUUUUACAAAUCAGUUUUCCAAUAACUUCCUAAAUUAGGACUAAAAAACAAAGGAUGUUGGACUAAUUGGGAACUUUGUAAAGUCAAACUCAAAUCGUACUCUUCCAAGACAAUGGAUAUGUCAUUCUUAAGGAAAACUACACCUAUGUUACUAAAUCAGUAGUCAAUUUUUAUUUUAGUAGUUUAAUUUCAAAAAAUUAUUAAAUGGUCACUCAACCAUUUAAAAGUAUUUAUUCGAGUCGUUAAGCUAUUAAAAUGAUUAUUAUAUAGCAUUCUCUGUUUGUACCGUCUACGUCAGUCGAAAGCUCUCCUUCUUUUUUUUUCUUCUAUAGUUUGAUUUUUUUUCAUCAAAUAAUUUUAAUGUCACGAAUUUUCAAAUCAAAAUCUAAAUAACUUUCUUUUUUAUCUUCGAAAUUGACUAUUAAACUGAAUUGAACAUAAUGUAUAUUCUACUUGUUGACGGGCACUAAUUCAUCGUACCGGUCACUGUAUUGUUACUUGGAGUGGGCCGAGAGAUGUUGCAUCCACCACCGCUCCACAGCUGGCAUGCUCUAGUUCACAACCCACUCUGCUCCACCAUGGACCUGCUCUGCUCCGUUUCAAUUUAAUUUUUGCUACUUGUCUCAAAACAUUUUUAAUUUUUUAAACGCAAAUAAAUAUUUAAAUAUAUUUUUUUCACAAUUUACACGUAAUUCUUUAAAAAAAUUAAAUAUAAAACAAGUGAAUUUUUCUAUACCACAAUAUUACAUUUCUACUCUUUUAAUUAUUAAAAAUAUACAAGGAUAAAAUGUUCAUAUAGUGAACCCUAUGUGAUAGCCUGAUGGACGGGAUGUUCACUGCCCUCGGUGUGACCUGAAUUCAAGUUGCAUUAAUCAUAUUUGCUAUUUGGGAUUUACCUUGUUCUUGUAUUCCAAAAAAAAAUCAUAUAGUGUAACAAGAUGAAUACUCCAACCCGUCUCACCCCACAUCCACUUUCUAAAAAGAAUAAAAUCAGAAUCUCUAGAUGGUUUAAUGGAAUUGGAUCCAACUUGAAAUAAAUAAUUAUUAAUUUAAAAUAUUUUAAUAGAGUUAAUUAAUAAAUUUAAUCAUUACGAAGAUUAUUAUUGUCAUCAAUUAUACUGAUUAACUCUUAUUUUUUAAUCGUAUAAUAUUGUUUUAAAAUAAUAAAACUUGUCAAAGUGAAGUGAUGGGUUUGAGAAGUAGAGGCAGCCAACUGCUACAACACAAGAUAUUGAAUUUUUUUUUAAUCGAAAAGGGAAAGGAAACAAUUAGAAAAUAGAAAGCAACAUUUAAGAAACCCAAUUGUCUCAACAACCAAACUCAAAAACAGCAUUUCUUUGUUUAGUUCAAUGGUAGUUGUGUUUUUAAGGAAAAUUAAAGGAAUACAAACAAUUAAUUAUAAUUUUAUUUUAUUAUUAAAUCUUUUUUAAGACUAGAAUUAGUCCUUCAUGGUCUUAUUGGCCAACCAACAAAAUCAACAAUCAUAUAAUUUUAUACCCCGUACAUGCUUUUAAUUCAAUAAAAUCUUGAAAAAGACUUUAGCUUCAGCUUGGGCAUACCCCAUACAUGCUCUAGGACCCUUGGUGCUUAAAAAGUAUUGAAUAUUAAACCUAUAUAUCACCUAUAGUUAAAGGAUGAAAGGGAUUAUUUCCCUUGUGCAAAUUGAAAUAGUAAUACAUAUUUACACAUCCCACCAACAAUACGAAUGCAGGUAAAAGAAAAGGGUAAAUUUGCAACUUGCAGAUGUAAUCUACGCAUAUAGCAGUUUUGAAGGGCACUAUUAGAACUAGAAGUUAUGCUAUUAAGUUCCAAGCCUACUAUAGAAACCUGCAGUCCUACCUACGCGCUCUUAAAAUUCUAUACUUAAAGCAUGUAAUAUAUCCAAGAUUGAAAACCUGUGAAAGUAUUGUGACAACAUUAAGCACUAAUGCCCGGAGUAAAGGCCCUUUGAACUAAAAGUUAUGCUUUUCGGGCCCAUGCCUACCAUAGAAACCUGCAUGUCUUGCGUAUGUACUCUGAGAAUUCAAUACUUAAAAGGAGUCAUACAAAGUAUUCCAAGAUUCAGAACUUAUGAAUGCAACGUGACAACAUCCCAUGUUAGAAACGAGCAAGAUAUAUGAGGUUUAAGGAAGAAAACAGCAACAAUCAAGAGAAUUAGGUUUGUAAAACUAGUUAGAAAAAAGUCGGGACAGCAUAUAUAUACAUACAUAUAUAAAAGACUUUCUUGCAAGCGAAGUUACUAGACUUUCCUGCAAAUAAAAUUUUAUUUUUAACCCUAAACCCUGAAGAAAACUAAUAAUCUUUGCUGUCUAAAAUGAAUCUGUAGGUAACUCAAUCACAUAAGAAUUAGAGCUUACUAAAUUUGUAGGGAACUCAAUCACACAAGUCAGAAACAUUAAAAACUGGACUGAUAUGCAAAUCUGUUGGCAACUCAAUCACAUAAGCAUUAGAGUUUAUUUUCUUUAACAUCGUACAUGACCUAAACUUCUUUGGCUUCAAUUUGUGAUGAUUUCCCUAAAACUGAACUUAAUUUAUAUUUAGCCUCAUGAUGUAAAUACAAGCACUAAUGCACAGAGUCUAUAUUAUAAAAUGAUACCUCAAAUUCUUGGCUUCAAGUUUAAAAGCCUACUAAACUUCCACACCAAAAAACUGAUCUAAAUUUAUAUUUAGCCUGUAAAACCGUAAAAAGAGAUAAAAAUCAUCAUUAUUCUCAAGAGAAUCAAGGAACCAAAGUGAAAAACAAUCUUUCCUCAGGCCCAAAGAGAUGUUUUCUCCUUAUUGCCUUAAUAUGCUUUGCCAGGACGAGUAAAUAGUUUUAUUGAAGAGAAUGGCUAACACCAAGGAUCUCUCAGAACCCACCUCCAACAAUAUAGUACUUGAUAAAACAGAAUGAUCAGAGUAACUUGAUCAUGAAUUAUAUCUAAUAUUGAUGCAAAUAGAUAACAAUGAAGAAGGUAAAAUCCUAUUUUAAGCCCUCAAACAAGUUUAUCUUCUAUCUUAUGCGGACCCACGAUUCAGGUACGUGUUUCUACUCAAUAAAAUGAUCCAUUGGAUAGCUUGAUGAUGAAUUAAAUCUAAUAGUCAAGCGAACAGAUAACAAUGAAGAAGGAAAAAGCCUAUUUCAAGUCCUCAAACAAGUUUAUCUUCUAUCUUAAGUGGACUCUUGAUUAGGAUACAUAAUUGUACUCAAUAAAACAAAAUCAUCUGACUAGCUUGAUCAUUAAUGAAAUCAAAUAUUCACGCAAAUAGGUGACGAUGAAGAAGGUAAAAUCCCAUUUCAAGCCCUCAAACAAGUUUAUCUUAUCUUAUGUGGACCCAUGAUUCAAGCCCGUGUUUCUACUCAAUAAAACAGAACCAUCUGGAUAGCUUGAUAAUGAAUUAAAUCUAAUAGUCAUGUGGAGAGAUGACAAUGAAGAAGGAAAAAGCCUAUUUCAAGUCCUCAAACAACUACCUUAAGUGGAUUUGUGAUUAGGGUACAUGCUUGUACUCGAUAAAACAGAACCAUCCAAAUAGCUAGAUCAUGAAUAAAAUCAAAUAUUCAUGCAAAUAGAUGAUGAUGAAGAAGGUAAAUUCCCAUUUCAUGUCCUCAAACAAGUUUAUCUUCUUCUAUCUUACUCAGGCUCAGGAUUCGGGUAGCUUGAUCAUGAAUUAAAUCCAAAAUUCACGAAACGAAUAAUAAUGAAGAAGGUAAAAGCCUAUUUCAAGUCCUCAAACAAGUUUAUAUUUUUCUAUAUUAUUCGGACUUGGGAUUCGGGUUCAUGUCAAACACAAAUAUGCUCAAUAAUUUUUUCUAAAAAACUUAUGAUACAUUUGAAAGAUCAUAUAGAUAUCCUUGUCAAGUGAAAAAGAGCUCAAUACAAACCGAGUAAUAACUUUGAGCUAGAAAAGGCAAAUUUCUAUGAAAUUUCAGUUCAGUUCAACAUUGUAGAUAUCAAAAUUCAACC
rnacentral:lncRNA from 1 species